rnacentral:lncRNA from 1 species
UUUACAUUCAUCCUUGGCAAAAAUUAAACAUAACUAUCAUUGAAAGAACAUUCCUCCAUUGAUUCAGAAACUAACAACUCUGCUGAAGAAUCUGAUUCAAUCUCUCUUCCAGUUCCGGAGAUAUGUCGAGAAGAAGAGAAGAAAGGUCUAGGAGGCAUUUGCAAAUCGUCAAUACUCCCUUCUAGCAUCUCCAAAACUUUUGUCAUAGAGGGGCGAUCUGCUGCCUUCACCUGAAUACACCACAAACCAAUCAUACACAGUUUCCUUGCUAUCAUGGAUUCAAUUUCAGUAACAUUCUGAAGCUCUAAAUCACCUCCCUUAUUUAAUUGGUCAUAUACCCAAGAUGGGAAAUAUGCUUUGCUUGAACGAGUUGCAUUCAUAUUGGAAUUCCUUCUUCCUCCAGCCAUUUCCAACAACACCAUCCCAAAACCGUAAACAUCUGACUUGCAAGAAACAGUUCCAAAAUUCCUUGAAAUCAGCUCAGGUGCUAUGUAUCCUAUGGUUCCUCUUGUGGCACUGAUGGACACAAAAUCAUUUUCCUUGGGAUGAAACUUUGCAAGGCCGAAAUCUGAGACCUUUGGGAUGAAAUUAUGAUCUAGAAGGAUGUUGUGAGGCUUAAUGUCGAAAUGAAGAAUGCAGACAUCACAUCCGUUGUGUAAAUACUCGAUCCCACGGGCAGUUCCUAAAGCAACUUCGUGGAGUUUCUCCCAACAAAGAGAUUGGCCUCUACUCUCCUUGGGAAAGACAUGCCUAUCGAGUGAUCCAUUAGGCAUAUACUCGUAGACAAGUGCCCGUUUGGAUCCCUCGGAACAGAACCCCAAUAGCUGGACUACAUUAACGUGGUGAAUUCUACCAAUUGUUGAAACUUCAUUGAUGAAUUCCUCCGCACUGAACUUGGAGUUCUCCAGCAUCUUAACAGCAAUCAAGCCACCAGUCUGAAGCUGUCCUUUAUAAACUGAACCAAAGCCACCUUGGCCUAAUUUAUGAGUGAAGUGGUUUGUCAUGGCAAUUAUCUGAGGGUAAGAGUACCUUUUAGGCAUCCACGAUUGCUGGUUACGCAGAAAUUUCUCAAUAUUAUCAAUUGUUUUCAAUGUCGUUCUGUAUUUGUGGAUAAGGAACACAAGUAAAACUGUUGAACCAAGGAUGAACCGAGUAAUUGUAAGAUACACGAAUGCACCGUCUGGAAACAAGGAAGUUUGAUUCUAGGUAAGUAGCUGAAUUCGAAAUAACAAGAACAGGCAUUCCAGCCAGGAAACCAUACCUAACAGUAACCAUUCGAGCCUGCCGUAAAGUGGCGGGAGUUUGUAGGAAACUGCGGGCCGAGGAAAAAAGAUUAGGCUUUAUACAUACAUACUCUGAGAGAUGAUUCAGAAAAGUUAUAUAUUAAGCACAAGAUUGGAGAAUAAAUAAACAAAUCGCAUAAGGCCAUCACUUUAACACCAACAAAAACAAACGCAGGAUCUAAGAUAUGUAAGCAUAGGCUUGUUACGUGUCAAAAGUUGUUGGUAGCAAAUAAAUUUUCCGAAUACUCCUUGUGCGAUGUGGCAUCCUGCAAAGCCUGCAAAAGUGCAAAAGAUAUUAAGGGUCAAACAGGUAUACAUACUCUUUUAGAGAUUGUCCACAAAUUCUUAAAUACGUAAAAGAUUAAGAUUGAAAACAUUAAAUAAAAGAGUCUCCAUUUAUUUGUAAGCACAUAUAAGCAUAAGCUUACUGUUUGUAAUUGAGCUAGAAUCGAAGCAAUCAAUAUUUCCCGUUCUAUCUGUACUAAUGCAUUCUCUACCGGCCGCUGCAUAACAAUUCCUGCAUCCAACUGACCAUCUAAGAUCGAAUCCUGUCUCCAACAAUUCUCGGAGGGUUUCAUAAGAAGGAUUUUCCACAUUCCCAUUAUGUACAGGAACCAUUGAAACGAACGAGCAUGACUCUGAAAAAUCUGAUACAUAGGAGCCAUGGUAAUUAACAUAAACAUUUGACUGAUUUCCUCCACUCAAACAUGGAACUCUUAUAAAAGCCUGAUCAAUGAGAUCCCUCGAGCAAUUCACGAAAUAGGCGUACAGGUGUUUAUAAUAAUCAAGUGCAUAAACCCGAUCGGUAUAAAAAAAAUAGCGACUGUUUUUAAGGCGAAAGAUUUCUCUGGGAAAAGAUGUGAAUGGAAGGCCGCAGCUUCCAUUGGCCAAGUUAACAUCGGCAACACUGAUUGUGCUUUCGUCAUAGGAAAUUCUCUUUACAUAGUACAUCGCAGAAUUGAAUAAUUCUAGGAUGGUUUGGUUGCUCCGGCAAGACAGUUCGAACUCAGGAUAACCGCAUCCCGAUGGAUCUCCCUUUAGGCGAAAAGGGUAGCUAAUGUUUUUGAUAUCGCCACAAGAAGAGGAACAGGUUUGUUGAAGUACUUCUCUUGCUUCAGUUUCAGUGGUGAAUAGAUAGAUCAAUAGACAAAACAGAAGAGUUGAGAGAAUUGAUGAUUCUUCCCCACUCAUUGUUAGUGCAAUCCCAGGAUACGAUGAAUUUCAAUAAAUUAAACAGAAGGUUGCAUUUUCAAGGUUUUGGGUGCGCAUUUACAUCAUUACUUCACAACGAGCACGUGUAUAUAGUAAAUUUAUUAUAGCAUUCAACUAUCUGAUUCUACUAGCUGAAGAUGAUAUAGCAAUAAUUAAUUGUUCAAAAAUAGUACUAUCUUAUUCUUAAAAAAAUCAUCAACAAUAAUUAAUCGUUCAAAAGUAGUAUUAUCCUAUCUGAUUCUACUAGCUGAAGAUGAUAUAGCAAUAAUUAAUCGUUCAAAAGUAGUAUUAUCUUUUUUUUUUUUUAAAUAAUAAACAAAGGUGGGGAAAUUGAAAAGGUUUAAAAGAGCAUAUUAAUUGAAUUUGUUUGAGCGCAAGACUUUUAGCAUCCAUGCCAGAGGGGACACCGGACACUCUUACAAGUCAGUCAACUCUUAGUAAACGUUUUGAUUGCAAGUUUGCGUCGGUGAUUAUGACCCUAGCUUGACCUGAAAUUUCGUAGUAAACCUUCAAAUUGAGACAAAAAUUUUGUAACAAUUUCCACGCAUGAAACAAUCCAGUCAACAUCUUUCGCUCGCUACUUUAAUUUCUCACCACAAACUCGGAGACAAUAAUUCAUUUUUUUUAUGAGAACACAGAACAUGCUUUGAUAUAUAAAAUAUAUGAUAAUUUUAUUUAUUACAUUUGUUUUUGUUUCAAGGCUAACACUAUGUUACGUUGAACGCAACAUACACUCAAAAGAGACAAUAUCUAUUAAUACCCUUAAACUUUAUGGAAACUACGUUAAUUGAAUUAAAAGAAAUGCUUUUAAAUCUCAAGGAAGAAAUGAGAGAAAUUAAACAAGAAAUAAGAAAAAUAAAAAUAGAACUAUCUGUAAUACAAAUGAGUCAAAAGAAAAAUUAAAAAGUAGAAAAAUUUGAAAUGUUAAAAUCAGGAAUAAUUGGAACAAGUUUUAAGAAACCUAUAGAAAAACCACAAACAGGGAGUUAUGAUGAUUGGUUUAUAAAAACCCAAUACCCAAGAAUAUUAGAAGAAACAGAAAAAUUAAAUGCAGAAUUAAAAAAGAAAGAAAAAGGCAAAGAAAAAUUAGAAAUAAAAGAAGUAACCCCUAGUGAUUCAAAGUAAUGGAAGAAUUAACUGAAAAAUUUAGUGAUAUAAACCUUAGUGAUUUAGAAGACUUUGAAAAAGAAUAUUGCAUAAAAAUGAAUACUGCUGGAGGUCCAGAAAUGAAACCUAAUAUUGAAGAACCAAGCCAUAGGAAUGAAACAAAUAAAAAGAAAAAUAGACCAUUUUUUGAAUAUUACCCACCUAUUAAAAAGAAUCAAUGGAAAAAAGAAUACCAACCUAAUAAUGACCACCUAACUCCAAUAAGCAAUGCAGGCACAUUUCUAGACUUAGACUGCAAAAUAGAUCCCCGAAAAGCUUUAGUAGAAUGGGGAAUGCAAAUGAAAUUAUUUUUUAUAUUUAAUGGUUCUAGAGACGAUUGGAAUGUUGAAAUAGAAGAAGAAAAAAUAAAUAUAUUUGCUGACAUUUUAAUAGCAAGUUUCACAGGAAACGUAUUUAAUUGGUGGAAAGGAUUAAGUGAAGAUACACAAAAAUUAAUAAAAGAUUCAACCAAAAUAGCAUUAGGAAGAAGUAAAGGAUUAGGAAUUGAAAGAAUAAUUGAAUAUAUUGCUAGUGAGUUCUUAGGAGAAGACUGGUUGCAAAAUUCAGAAAAUGAAGCAAAACGUGAUAAAUUAGAUGCUAGAAUGAAACUAAUAAAUUUAACAAUUUGUAAUAUGUGUUUUGUAAAAGAAUAUACCUGUGAAUUUUCUAAAUAUUAUUAUACUCAAUUCAUGAGUCACGAAGACCAAAAUAUCUAUAAGAAUUUAUACUAUUCUAAACUUCCAUACCCUUGGAAUGGAUAUUUUAUUAAUGAAUAUGAAAAGUACACUAGUAGUAGUGAUAAUAGACUCCCAGAUACAUUAGGAGCUAGAAUAAGAUUCUUAAAUACAAGAUUAAGUGAAAUAUGUAUUCAAAGGAGUUUAAUAAAAAAGAGUAAAAAUAUAACAAAAAUAUGUUGUGAAAAAACGGAGAUGCCUACCCAAUGGGGAUGUUAUGCACCUCAUAAACGACACAGGAAAUCCUACAAAAAGAAAAAAGAUAUAAGAAAUACAAUAAUUUUAAAAGAAAAUAUAAAAAAUCAGGAAGAAAAUAUAAAAACCAAAGAAAGAUAUUAGACAAGUCCAAAUGUAAAUGUUGGAAUUGUGGAGAAAUGGGACAUAUUAGUACAGACUGUACAAAAAAGAAAGUUAGACUUCUAAAAGAAGAUUUUGAAAAUAUAGAGAAUGACUUAGAAGAAAUAAACAAUCUAUCAGAUAAUGAAGGAGAAGAAGUUUAUAUGGUAGAAGAAUAAGAAAAUGAGUCAAAAUAAAGAAGAAUUAAUGGAAAAUGAAAAGAUAGAAGAAAUUGAAGAAAUAGAGCAAGAAGAGAAUAAAAGUGGAUAUAGUCUUGUUGCUACUUUUAAUAAAGAAAAAUAUAAUAAACUUUUAAAACUAAAUAUGGAAAAACCGAAAUAUGGAAUAAUACAUAGGUUCAGAGAUAUGUUUAAAAGAAAAUGAAUAGUAUUACAUGAAUACUAUGAAUAAGAAAAGGCCGUAACAAUCACACAAGCAGAGGGAAACAUUAGAUUUAGUUUAAUAAAUAAAAGAUCUAUAGAUUUAGCGUUAAGAAAAAUAAAGAAUGAGUCAACAAAAGAAAAAAUCCAAUAUGUAUAUUUAGCAGAAAUCCAAAUCUUAAUAAAAUCUCUUUUCAAAGAAGGCAUAGAUAGUCCCAUAGUUUUAUCAUUACACGAUCAAAGAUUUACUAAUCCUAGCAUAGGACAUUUAGGAACCAUAGAAGGAAAUUUAUGUUAUACUAAACUACUAUUUACCUGUCACCCUAGAUAUUGCGUACAUAUAAAGGAUAAAAACAUAGAUGAAACAUUAAGUUUACAUUUUAAAUUAUUAAAAAAGAACUUAAUGAAAGAAGGGAAUAGAAUAAUGACAAUACACUAUUCAGCUUUAUAUAGUUUUUGUAAUUCAAAUUAUGGAGAAAUAUAUGGAAAUAAACCUUACAUUGAGAUAAAUAAAGAUUGUGAAGAUAUAGCGACAUUUAUAGAACCAAUAAUCCAAGAUUAUAAAAUCCCUAUUAAUUAUGAAUUAAAUAUAGAUGAUAGAAAACAAUUUUUAGAUAAUAAUAAUGAAAACUCCAUUAUCCCUAUAAGUUUUGCAGGAAGAACCUUGAUAAGAGGAAAUUCAUCUAAAAGACUAAGUAUUGAUAAACAAAUAGUUCAACCUAUUGUAACUAAUAAUGUAAUAAAAAUACAUGGACAGUACUUUAAUGGAAUAGUUUAUACAGCAAAGAUACCAAUACUCGUAGAUACUGGAACAAUUCAUAACUAUAUGAACCACACUAAAAAUAAAGGACUUUUGGUAAAAGAAAAAGAAAUUCCAUAUGAAUAUACAUAUUUCAAUGGAAAUAAACAUAUUUGUAAACAAGAAGUUAAAGUCCCUAUAAUCAUAGAAGGACUUAGAAUAAUAGUACCUUGUUAUAUAGACUCAUUCAUGACUACAGAUCCGGAAAAACAUAUAGUACUAGGAAAUAGUUUUUUAAACGAUUUAGAAUAUUACAAAAUAGAAAAGAAUAAAAUAACCUUACAAAUACAAGGCCAAAAGAUAAUAUGUGAAACAUGUUAAAACAGGCUUAUAUAAAAUACCCUAUGUCUGUCUAUAUACAAAUAAAUAUAACAGAAAAAGAUAUAGAUACAUGUGCCUUAAUCGAUACGGGUAGUGAAAUAACUAUUAUGAAAUCCUUUUUAUCCAGGAAAUGGGAAUUAAAUGGAAAAUUAAAAAUUAUUGGAAUAACAGGAGACAAACAACAAGUAAAUCAAUCUAUAACAAACUUUGAAAUAUUGUUAGGAAGUAAAAUAGUACGUAUUAAUCAAAUAUUUCAAUACAAUAAUAUGGAUUGUGAUAUCCUUUUAGGUAAUGAUUUUAUACAACAAUUCCAAUAUUAUCAACAAACUCCAUAUAUGAUUACUUUCAAAACCCCUUGUAACCAUAUUCUCUGUAUCCCUCGUGAAUUUAAACCCUACCGAGUUCAGACAGCCUAGCGUGGUGAUACAUACAUUUAUGAAAAACAUUAUUUAAUACAAAAAGGACAGAGUUAUAAUAUACAAUUAGAAACAAUAAAGUCGCAACUUGAACAAGUUUAUAAAGAAAACCCAUUAGCAUUAUGGAAACCAGACCAUCCUAGAGUAAAAAUAGAAUUAAUUGAAAAUAGGAUAAUAAGAUUAAGACCUAUGAUGUACACAGAAGAAGACAAGGAAAAAUUUAAAAUCCAAAUAAAAGAACUCUUAAAUCUAAAACUCAUCCGAACUAGUAAUAGUCCACAUAAUAGUCCAGCCUUUAUGGUUAGAAAAAGAGCAGAACAGGUUAGAGGAAAAGCAAGAAUGGUAAUAAAUUAUAAAAAACUAAAUAAAUAUACAAAAUUUGAUGAAUAUUUUCUCCCGAAUAAAAAAGUAUUAAUAAAUCUUGUAAAAAAUAAAACCUAUUAUUCAAAAUUUGACUGUAAAUCAAGAUUUUGGCAUAUAAAAAUGGAAGAAAAUAGCAUUCCUUAUACAGCUUUUAGUACCCCACAAGGACAUUACGAAUGGCUAGUAAUGCCUUUUGGACUAAAAAAUGCCCCUCAAAUUUUUCAGUGUCGAAUGGAUAAAAUAUUUAAAGAUUAUAAAUAUAUUCUAGUCUAUGUUGAUGAUAUAUUAAUCGCAUCUGAAACCAUAAAAGACCACAGGAACCAUCUAAAAGAAUUUGUUAAUAUAAGUAUUAGAGAAGGGAUAGUGUUAUCAGAAAGAAAAGCAAUUAUAGAACACAAGAAAAUAGAAUUUUUAGGAAUGAUUCUUGACAAAAAAGGAAUAAGACUUCAAAGUCAUAUAGGAAGAAAGAUUAUAGAAUUCCCAAAUAAGUUGGAAAAUUAACAACAAAUACAAAAAUUUUUAGGAUGUUUGAAUUAUGCAGAAGGAUUUAUAAAAGACUUAGCAUAAAAGAGAAAUAUACUUCAAAAAUUAUUAAGAAAAAAUAACACUAGAGGAUGGAGUGAAGAACACACAGAAACUGUAAAAACUUUAAAGGAAGAAUACAAAAAUCUUCCAGCAUUAAGAUUACCCGAAGAAAAAGAUAAAUUAAUAAUACAAACGGAUGCAUCUGAUCUAUAUUGGGGAGCAAUUCUCAAAACUGAUAUAAACGAAAUUUGCCGAUAUACUAGUGGAACGUUAAAUCAAGCACAAGUCAAUUAUCCCGUACAUGAAAAAGAACUCCUUGCAAUAUAUAAAGGAAUUAAAAAGUUCUCAUUAUUUUUGCUCCAAAAGCAAUUUAUCGUAAAAACAGAUAAUUCCCAAGUAAGUUCUCUUGUUAAUAGAAUUUUACCAAAUGAGUCUCAAUAUAGAAGACUACAUAGAUGGCAAGUUUAUUUGUCUUAUUAUAAUUUUAAAAUUAUUCAUAUAAAAGGUACUAACAAUUUCCUUGCAGAUUUCCUAGGCAGAAACAUAGAAUUCGGAAAAUGAAUGCAAAAGUAAAUAAAACCCUAUCUGCAAUAAAUACUGAAAUACAAAGGCUCAAGGCCGAGACAUCUGACAUGCUUGAUGCAAUAAAUUACAUGAAAGAGGCAGCAGAGAGCCAUGAGAAGGGAAUACAUUUGUUAGAGUCAUAUAUAAAUGACCUAACAAAAUGGCUUUCAAUAAACACUAGCCCAAUAAAUAUAGGAAGCAGUAGUGGACCAAACCCACAGCAAGAACCGGUCUCUGAUCCAAUUGUCAGCCGAACCAUAUCCAUAGAAACCGAAUCACCAAAAGCAACUUCUUCAAAAAAGUUUAUCAAAAUAAACAACUCCUCCACAAAAGAAGAAGAAAAAUCAUUUCCUCUAAAUCCAAAAGAAGAAGAAUAUAAACAGUUUUCCAUAUGGAUAUAUUCUACAUGUUCCCACAACAAUACAAUCUUCAAAUCUCUAGGAAAAAAUAUGUAUCCCAGGAUGAUAGCCAUAAAAGGAGCAGAUCCACUCCUUGUUGGAAAAAUAGCUAAAUACGGGUAUCUAGACUUAGUAUAUCCAGACAUAGACCUUAGGAAAAUAGCCAGUUUAGAUGAGCUAUUAGUCAAAGAAGUUUCUAAAUUUGCCCAAAAAAAGUCCAUAUAUUUAAAAUUCUAUACCAUUAAUCCAGAAUACCAUAAGAAUAUAGAAUACCAAGCAUAUUAUAUGAUCUCAGUGGGACAUAUUAUAAAAAAUUUCCAAUUAGAAGUAGGAACAGAAUAUACAAAUGUUCCCCAUAUAACCAAUACAUGGAUAAGAACCCGUAGAGCUCGAGGAAUAAAAACAAUAUGGAGUAUUGCUAAAGAUCUCUAUAAGAGAAAUUAUAGAACAAUUAUCCGUUUUCAAAACUAUAUCCUUGUGACUUCAGAAGAGAGCCAUACACCAUCUAAUAUCCUUCUAGAAUUCAUCAAUGAAAUCAGUACCAUGAGAUUUCCCAGUAGCAGUGAAACCAUGCAACAAGCUUAUCAGCUUAUGGAAACAAAGUAGACUGGCUGGUGGCAGACAAGUGGCAGAUAACAAAAGGAUAAAAAGAUGCUCGUGGCAGACAGCUCGUGGCAGACAAAACGAAGUGCCCGACAAGAUAAAAAGAGAAAGAGAUGAUAUUAUUUUCUUUGAUAAUAAUGAAAAGAUGUAAGCAAUGAUGUAAGCGGCCAAUAAUGUAAAAGGCCAAUAAUGCAGAAGCCCAAUAAUACAAGGGCAAUAAUGUAAACUUAACAAUGUUGGCAAUAAAUAAAAGAGAAGAGAAAGAAGAGGAAGACCUCAGACUUUCCAGACAUUCCAAAAAACGUUCUUUCAAAAUUUAAAUUCUCUCAACAAUGAUUCUGUAAACACUUCCUUGCUCUAAAACCAUAAAUCAAAUCGUCAUAAAUCAUUAACACAAUCAUCAGAGAAAAGGGAAAGAAACCUAAACUUAUCCAACACUUCUUUAAUAAGCCGAUCAAAAUCCAUACAGUAAAGCCAUCUGAGUCCUCAGAUCCCGCUGAGGCAGGAGGCCGUUAAGGGAAUUGGACAUCCAGGCUGCAGGUCACUGGAAGGAGAUUGGAAAGAGAAGAAGUGAAAGAAAGUUAGGUAAUAAUUCUUAAACUUUAUCUUUUGGUGGAGGUUGUUGCUGAUUAAGUGAUGAAAUGAUUUGUGGAGGAAGAGCAAAUUUUCAUAAUGAAUCAAAUCCUUGAUUAUCUUUUGUAAAAUGAAUCAUAAAUUUUAUUUAGGAGAAUCUAAAGAAUACAUGAUAAAUCCAACUACAAAAUAACAUAUAAUGAUUAUAUGAUGAUCAUAGACUUUAAUUUAAGAUUAUUUAAACAGAGUUCAUAUUUGUUUAGUAAACAGGAACUUGUAAGAACAGAAGAUUUAUUAGCUAUAUACUCACUAGAUUUACCUCAAGAAAUAAAACAAAGGAUCAUAAAUUAUAUCAAAAUAGAUAAUCUAAAACAUAACAUAAUUAUGUUAACUAUAGAAGAAGGAAUAGAUGUAGCAAAAGCAUACUUGGAACAAAAAAGUUAUAGAGAAGAACCUUCUUAUAGUUAUAAUUCUGAUAACGAAGAAUUUGAAAUAUAAAUUAUAAAUCUCUUCACAUAAAUAUGGAUAAGUGUAUAUUGGCUGGAAACCAAGGUGUGCGAACUACUGGCUCAAAGGAGAUUUAAAUAUCUUGGGUUACCAAGGAUCUCAUCACUCUGGUAAAACAACGCCACGUACAACUAUUCGCUGGUAUUAAAUAAAAUGUAUCAUACAUUUAAAACAUCUUUUUGUUAUAUACUUUGAUUAUUUUGUAAAUCUAUUUCUAAUAUAAAAUAAUAAUAUAGCAUUCAGUUUGCUUAUUUUGUUCAUAGCUGGUAAUUACAAUUAUCUGGUUGUUAUAAUUAACUCUGUUGUGUAUUUUGUAAACCAAUUCGUAAAUUAUUGUUUUUCAUUUUUUCUGUUGUUCGUUUUUUCUAUUUGUCUGUGAACAAGAUGGUAUCAGAGCCAUGAAAAAUCCAAGACCAUAAACAUGGAUCCUAUACAAUUGAGGUUGUUGCUGAUUAAGUGAUGAAAUGAUUUGUGGAGGAAGAGCAAAUUUUCAUAAUGAAUCAAAUCCUUGAUUAUCUUUUGUAAAAUGAAUCAUAAAUUUUAUUUAGGAGAAUCUAAAGAAUACAUGAUAAAUCCAACUACAAAAUAACAUAUAAUGAUUAUAUGAUGAUCAUAGACUUUAAUUUAAGAUUAUUUAAACAGAGUUCAUAUUUGUUUAGUAAACAGGAACUUGUAAGAACAGAAGAUUUAUUAGCUAUAUACUCACUAGAUUUACCUCAAGAAAUAAAACAAAGGAUCAUAAAUUAUAUCAAAAUAGAUAAUCUAAAACAUAACAUAAUUAUGUUAACUAUAGAAGAAGGAAUAGAUGUAGCAAAAGCAUACUUGGAACAAAAAAGUUAUAGAGAAGAACCUUCUUAUAGUUAUAAUUCUGAUAACGAAGAAUUUGAAAUAUAAAUUAUAAAUCUCUUCACAUAAAUAUGGAUAAGUGUAUAUUGGCUGGAAACCAAGGUGUGCGAACUACUGGCUCAAAGGAGAUUUAAAUAUCUUGGGUUACCAAGGAUCUCAUCACUCUGGUAAAACAACGCCACGUACAACUAUUCGCUGGUAUUAAAUAAAAUGUAUCAUACAUUUAAAACAUCUUUUUGUUAUAUACUUUGAUUAUUUUGUAAAUCUAUUUCUAAUAUAAAAUAAUAAUAUAGCAUUCAGUUUGCUUAUUUUGUUCAUAGCUGGUAAUUACAAUUAUCUGGUUGUUAUAAUUAACUCUGUUGUGUAUUUUGUAAACCAAUUCGUAAAUUAUUGUUUUUCAUUUUUUCUGUUGUUCGUUUUUUCUAUUUGUCUGUGAACAAGAUGGUAUCAGAGCCAUGAAAAAUCCAAGACCAUAAACAUGGAUCCUAUACAAUUAAUAGUUGAUAGUUUAUACACAUUAAAAGUAUAUAAUAAAGAAGAAAUAAAAAAUUUAAUAAAAGCAUUAAAAAUUGAUAAAAAUAAUAUAAGAAAUAUAGAACUUGAGUUGACUGAAGAGCUUAGAGAGAGAAAUAUAAAUACAACAGGAGGAGAAAUAUUGAUAGAAAAGAAAAUGAAAUUUAUUGAUAAAUUUAUAACAUUUUUAGUAUAUUGGUAUAAAACUGAAACACUAUGAAUCAAGCUUUUAAUACGAUACAAGAAUUAGUAAAUAGUACAGAACGUAGGUGUCUAGGAUGGGAAAUCAUAGUAAAUACAUAUAUAAAUUUAAUAAAUCAGAAAAUAGAUUUACUAGAACAAGAAAGAAUAGGAUUAAUAAAUUUAGGACCAGAAAUUUAUUCUGAAUUUAUAGAUUUAUAUGAAUUUGAUAAUCAUUUAUUGUUAUUAAAAGAAAUAAAUAAAACUUUAGAAAAAAUAAAAAAUAGAUGUAGAAGAGAUGGGAGAAGACAAAUACUUCCUCAAUUUUAAAGAAUAAAGAAAAAUAAAAGGACUCAAAUGAAAUUUGCAAAGAAGAAUAAAACAAAAAACGUAAGGUACAUUAAUCGUAACUUAGGCGCUCCCUUGUUUCAAUGUUAUAUCAAUAGUUAUUAUAAAGUACAUUUGGUUAUUCAAAUAAAGGGUAUAAUAAUAUAAAGAGUGCGUGUGUAAAUUGUAAUAAUUUAUUAAACUUAGUAGGGUCUGUGUUAUCAUCAGCAAUCUUAAUCAUUUAAAUUUGAUUCUAAAGGGGGAAUCUGAUAUGGUAUGUUUCAUUUUGUUGGUUGACAAUGUUCAUAAAUAUUUGUAUCACUGUUUCCUUAUGAAGUUUUGGCUUCUGUGUAAGGAAGAGAAGGAAGAAGAUUAUUGAACUCAGAAAAAGUGACAUGGAUUAACAGAGAAAGAGAGAUGUUUUUUAGUGUAAUAUUAAAGAUAGCCAUUCAUUUUUGUAUGGCUUAAAAGCAUUUUAUUUAAGUCAAUGGCAACCCCACGAGAGAUUAGUCCUCAAUGAGAUUUGCAGAAAACAAUAAUAAAGAAUAAGCUAAAUGAAGCCAUUGACCUGAUUUUUUGUGAUUACUUUUCAAUGUGGGGGUAAAAUAAUGAAGAAAAUUUCCACCUCAGAGUUUUUUUUUUUAACUAAUUAAAUAUCAUGUUACUUUAUUAUAUAGAGAUAUUUACAACUGCUAUGACAGCAGGUCAUUAUAUACCUAGGACUUACAUUAUUACAUUUUUUAUUCUAUGAAAUACAUGUCCAGCCAAAUACCCCUCACGAGGGAGGGAUGUCUCUACUCCACUCGCAUUUCGCAAGGGAGAAAGACGUUAUAAGUAAUCUCCACACAAUUAUGAUUAAUUGAGAGAGUUUUUGAGUCCGUGGAGACUCGAACCAUUGCCCUUAUAGUCAUGCUUAACUUUAAGGGUAAUGGUUCACCACUGGGCUACAAGCUCAAGUGGCCACCUCAGAGUUUUAAGUUAAGCCUAGCACACCUCUAGUUAAAUUCUUUUGCCACCCAUAUGGACAGAUUCAAAUCUCAAACUUUUUGUAUCAACUCAAAAGAUUUCAACAACUAAAUUAUCUAUCACUCGCGAAAAGUGUAGUGUGUGCCUUAGGCUCCAAUUCGAGAUAAACCAAUGAGAAGAAGAAGAACAUUUGUCAUUAAUUGCAUGUUAUUCAUUUAUUUAUUUUACAUUCAUUAUUGGCAAAAUUAAACCUAAAUAUCACCGAAAGAUCACUCCUUCACUGAUUCAGACAUUAACAACUCUGUUGAAGAAUCUGAUUCAAUCUCUCUUCCGGAUAUAUGUCGAGAAGAAGAUGAGGUAAUAUUUUAACCUAUAUAUUGUUCUUCCUGUGGCGCUGAUGGGAGCAAAAUCAUUUUCCUUGGGGUGAAAUUUUGCAAGGGCCGAAAUCUGAGACCUUGGGAAAGGAAUUAGGAUCUAGCAGGAUGUUGUGAGACUUAAAUGUUGAAAUGAAGACUGCACACAUCACAUCCGUUCUGUAAAUACUCGAUCCCGCGAGCCUUUUCUAAAGCAACCUAGCUCAUGGAGUUUCUACCAACUACCCUCCUUGGGAACUAUAAGUCUAUCAAUAAAGGAAUGCUCUUUCAGCGAUAGUUAUGCUUUAUUUUUUUCAAUGAUGUGUUUAAAAAUAGACUAAAGUUUUCGUAUUCUUUAUGCACCCUGUGCUUGCAUGGGAAGGUAUCAUAGGUGCAGAGGUUUCCUCUCUAUAAAAUGUUUUUAUAUUAAUUUUGUGCCACUGUAAUGAACUCUGUUGUGUUUCAUUCGGUAUGUAAUCUGCCAUAAAUGGAAUCAGAUUUAGCAGUCUAGUUACUAAUAAUCAUCUACUUGACAAGUUGAAAUUUCUAAGGGCCUACUUCAGAAUCAGAGACGACGGUGCACAUUUUGAAAGACUUUUGAAGUCUCACUUCGUUGCUUAUCUGAAACUAAAUGAUUAAUCAAAAGAUUCAUCAGCAAUUAGGUAGCAUUGAUUUUAGUAGGGAAGGAUAGCGGGGUAUAAUAAAUAAUAGGAAAAAAGACACCUACACUCUAAUGUUUGAAAAAAUAAUUAUAAAAACUCCCAAGUCUUCAAUAAAAAACAACAAGGUUUUUUUUUUUUUUGCUAUAAUACCCUUUAACUCUAUAAAUCUAAAAAAUUUACUCUCAAAUUUUAUAAUCUAUAGAAACAUGACAUUAAAAUAAAUGUAAUAAUAUAUACAUUUGAAAAAUAUCUAAAAAUAUAUUUUUAUAUUUUACAAUCUAUUUGACUUAUUUUAUUGCCGUACAGCAGUAAAUAGAAAUAUAAUAUUAAAAUAAAUUAAUUAAAAUCAAAAUUAUUUGAAUAUUAUGUAAAAAUAAUUUUAAUAUUAUUAAAAGGGAUAUAUUUUGUUAAUUGUAAAUGAAACGACCCGCCCCGAAUCCCCCCAGGCGAGUCUAUCUAGUCUCAUCAAGACAGACUUGAUAAUAAUUCUAUUCGUAAGAUUCUGCCGAAAAUUCGACAGAGUCUCCUUUAUAUAUAUAACACUCCCAAUAUACAAAUAUGAAUAUAACACUCCCAAUACAAUUUAAUAUACAACAAACUCCAGUGCUCAACAUCCUCAACUAAAAUGCUGAGUUUUAUAUCUCCAGAGUCUCAAAAGAUAAUAUUAUAACUAAUAUGAACAUCUCAAUUUAUUCUUAAUCCCAAAAGAAUAAUAUAACAAAAGUAUACAAUCCCAAAAGAACAAGAUGACCAAGAUGUCCUAACAAAAGCAUCUAUAUCUUCUAACACCAUCACGUGGCCAAGACUCAAAAUAUAUUUACAGUCGCUAGGUCGGUCUGGUGUACCUGCAACCUCCUGGUGAGGGGGGGAAAAUAUAAUAAAAACGGGAUGAGUUUAAAACUCAGUGAGAUCAGUAAGUGGAUAGUAGUUUUGAAAAUUAAUCCUUACUUUAAAAGAAAUAAUCAUACCAUUUCCAAACACGAUUUCAUUAAACCAUAAGCGAGAAACCAGUAAUAAGUCAUACCACAAUAUCAUAUAGAAUUCACAAAUCUGAAAAUCAUCACCAAACAAGUAUCCAGGGAAAUAAUUUUGUCAUAUCCGGACCUCAACGGACGGGCAAUGACGUAUUAUCUGGGUAACGUCACGCCCCGGAGCUACACGGAUAAACAAGGAAAUACCAUCUCAUAUCUCAUCAUAUCUGUGCAUGCAUAAUCUAUUCCCCAAAUGACAAAAGCGCCCAAGCACACGGCCCAAAGCCUCUGUGUGUACUCAGACGGGCCCCAAAGGCCUGUAUCUCAUAUGUAUCAUAUGUAUCAUUUGUAUCUCAACAGCUGUCUGUAUCUCAUAUCAGUAUAUCUGUACUCAUCAUACCGCAUGCAUAUGCCCCCAAAAGACAAAAACGCCCAAACACACGGCCCAAAGCCUCUUUGUGUGUUCAGACGGGCCCCAAAGGCCUCUCAUCUGUAUCACUGUAUCUGGAGGGAAGGGUACUGUCUAAUGAUUUCAAAAACAAUCAGUCUACUCAUAUUCACAUACCUCUUAACCAUAUUUUAAAUCAUACCUUGAAUCCACUUUUCUUAUCUUUAAAAUACUAUCAUACUUUAUUCAAAAUCGAUACACAAAAUCAUUAACCAAACAUUUCGAGAAAUUAUUAAAUCAGAACAUUUAAAAUACUUAUUUCGCAAACAUGCUUUACUAUUAUAAUUAACUAUAAAAAUAGGUUUUGUAUAUUCCACUCACAGUGACGGUGUUCACGGUCAGUUAUCGUCCACGUCCGCGGACCGGUUCUCGCUCGCGAAUCCUCCUAAAUCAAGGAAAUGACAUAAUUAUUUUCCGUAAAUCGGAAUUACGACUAAAUUUAUGCAAUAAACUGGAAACGAACAUCUAUCCAUAAUUGACAACUCCCGUGUCCAUAAAAUUACUAAAAUGCCCUUGAGUCCGUAAAUCAUUAACACAUACUCUGAAAUCGUACAUCACCGAAUUACCCUCGGAAUCGUAAUUACACCCACUCCUCAAUUCUAGGAAUUACUAAAAUAUCCACAAGCUCAGAAAUUAUAAAAUUGCCCUCAUAGUGUGAAAUUACCAAAAUGCCCUUGCCGGUCAACGGUCACCGGAAUUUGGUCAACGCUAGCUAGGAAGCUCAAUUCUAAAAGUUCCAAUCACGCUGAGUUCAAUGGUACUGGCGGUGAGCUCCAACACGCGGCAACGGCGCCGGAAUCGAGCUCGGCAGCCGUGAAUUCCAACAAUCGACCGACGGCAAAACAGUGACUCUCGGUGCCUAUGGAUGGUCGAAAAUGGAAGAGGGAGUCGUGGGGAACAAGAUCCAACCGGUGGUGUCACCCAAAACCAGCGAAAAUCCCGGCGGAGCAAAGUGCAACAGUCGCGGGUUUCAAGCUUCGAUCGUCGGUGUUCCGGUUGGUUUUCGGUGACGAGGAUGGCAAGGGAACGACGGUCGGCUUCUAAGCUUCAGAUUGGUACCAAGCUCGGCCGAAAUGGCAGCCGGAAAUGGGAGAUAUGGUCGGGUCAAGGUCGUGGGUUCCAGGUCGGGUUUUCGGGUCUGUAGUUGGGUCGGUUUGGCAGCCUCUCUCUCACUCUCUGUUACACGUGCAUAUGUUGCUCUGUUUUCCAGCUUCUUCUUUUGUUAACUUCUUAACCGCCUCUUUUAUUCAUUUUAAAAUUCACAUAUGUUAUAGUAAAAUUCAACCCAAAGACUUUAUUUAAAAUCUUUACAACAAAUACAAAUCUAUUAUUAAAAUAAAUAUAAUAAUUUAAAUUUUUAUAUUAUUUUAAAUGUCAAAAAUAAUUUAAUAUUAUUAGUUUACUAGAUAGAUUAUAUUAUUUAUAUUAAAUUUUAAUUAAAUAAAAAACUUCAAAGUCAAUUUCCUAAUUAAUAAAUUCAAAGGGUAUUAUGAUUAAAAAUGGGUCUUGAUGUCUCAUUUUAAAAACUUGAGAGUUUUUGUAAUUAUUUUCUCACACCUUAAGGGUAUAAUUAUCUUUUUUCCUCAAUAAUAUUAUAAAUUGAAAAAAUUCAUCCAUAGUUGUAUUAAUGUUGUAUAACUCGAACACAUCAAAGAUUUUAAGCGAUAAAUAAAACAACCAGAGUCAAACAAAAACUCAAUUUAGUGGUUUUCAAGCGUUCCAAUAACAAGAAGGACUAAAUAAUUUAGCUUAUAAUCGGGGAAAAUUUGAAAUAAAUUAACAAUAUCCCUUUUUAAUUGUAAUCUUCUGCUAUCUAGAUCAAUUGAUUGCACCUGCCUCAACAUCAGCAGAGACAAAGGGCAUUGGAGGGAUCUCCAAGCUUUGUAAAUCAGCUUCAAGCAUUUGUAACACAAUUGGCAUGGAAGGUCUCUCCGUGGGAUUCCAUUGAAUGCACCAAAUUGCCACAAUUGCAAGCUUUCUGGCAAUUCCCUCAUCCCCAUCUUCCUCAAAAUCCAAACAGAGCUCUUGUCCUUGCCUCAUUCUAUUGUAAAUCCACUCCGGAAAAUAUAUUUGGCUCUGAAUUUCAACCGCAGGAUCAUUAUUUUUUCUGCAUCCGACCAUCUCUAACAGCAUCAUUCCGUAACUGUAAACAUCAGACUUGUAAGAGAUCUCACCAAAAUUCCUGGAGAAAAGUUCAGGUGCAAUGUAGCCAGAAGUGCCUCUGGCAGCUGUCAGAGAUACAAUGCUUAUGUCCUUUGAGCACAACUUAGCCAGUCCAAAAUCUGAAAUCUUCGGUUGAAAAUUAUGGUCUAAUAAUAUAUUGUGAGGCUUGAUAUCGAAGUGCAGGAUCCUCUGGUUGCAUCCUUGGUGCAAGUACUCCACUCCACGGGCAACGCCAAAUGCAAUCUUCCUCAGCUUCUCCCAACUCAAUUGACGGUGACUUGAGCUAUUUGUCUUUGAGAAGAUGAAUUUCUCAAGUGAUCCAUUGGGCAUAAACUCGUAAAUAAGAGCGCGACGAUUCCCUUCAGAGCAAAAUCCCAGAAGCCGAACAAUGUGAAAGUGGUGAAUCCUGCCAAUUGUGGCCACUUCAUUGAUGAACUCUUGUCCAUUUCCUUUUAAAUGUUCCAACAUCUUGACAGCAACUGGAAUUCCGUUGAAGAGUUUUCCUCUGAACACACUUCCAUAACCUCCCUGGCCGAGCCUGUGCUUAAAUCUGCUUGUUAUUUUCUUCAGUUCUUUGUAAGUAUAUCUGGUAGGAUUGACGGUCCUGUAGUUUUCUAGGAACUUCUCCACCUUCAGUUGAGUCUCUUUUUCUUUUUCAGAUUCUCUUGAUCUGUAAAUGAGAAAUAUCACUAAUGCAAAGAGGGUGAUGCCUCCAAUGCUUGUGCCUGUGGAUAUUAGACUUAUUGAUAAAGGGCCAGGACCAUCUGUUAUAUAUAACUAAGAAAAGUUAGUUAAAAAAUUAACUCAAACAAUAAAAUGAGAUGCUAAAAGUCUGGACCCGUGCAAGCUUAACUUGGUAGCAUAAAGACUCUAAUAUCAUUUGAUUGGGUUUUAACAAGUCCCUCUCAUGUGACCAUCUCAUAUAGGUAUUUGUCCAUAACUUAAAUGAGAAUUAUAUAUCUUAUUCACAUGGGUGGAUAGAUAAUUAGGUUGUCAUUUAACUAAAUAAUGAAAAAAAUACUAAUAAGCAGAAGAUGAAAUUAUUUGAACUGCAAAGUAAGCACUCUUUUACCUUACACACUUUAAUUUUAAAAUUUUAACUUUUACUUGAGUACACAAUGAAAACACCAAAAUUAUCACAAUUAGAAAUCUCUGUCUUUAUGUUUUUUUUUUUCCCUUUCUGCAUUCACAAAAUGAUUUUUUUCCCCUCAUCUCUUAUUCCAUGUGAAUAUUGAGGGUUACUUGAUUGAACAAAUUUUUUUCUCAAUAAAUUUUCCAUCAUGAACUUAAUCAUAGAGAAAAAGUAUUAGUAUAAUAAUUCUUCUUAAUUUGUGUUCAUUGAGUACGCAAGAAAAUAUAAUAGGUUAAACUUUUAUCAGGCAUUGUGAGUUUAAUCAAUCUCUCACCAUUUACGAAAAUUAAUUGUAAUAUAAAGAUUCAAAGAUUAAAUUGACGAGAUAGAGAAAAUUAGUAUUAUGUAUUUGGUCCUGAGUAGUAUCAAUUUUUCUUCAAACAGUCAAAUCAGCCUGGCUAGCAACAUUUUAUUAACCAAUCUACAACUGGCACGAAUACCAGAAAGCAGCCUUUAAUAGCAAUGAUAUUCGCCAUACAGAUUAGGGGUAGGUAAAAUUAUAUUUGCCGCCAAAAAAAUGAAUCGUUAGUCUUUUUUUUUUUUGGUUAAAAAAAAAUCCAUCGAUUUAUAUGAGAGAAAAUAAAAAGCCAAAAAAACUAGAAAAACGCAAAAGAAAUUACAGGUCAAAGGGAAAAAAAAAAGCCUAACUAAAUCGAACCAAAUUGAUUGGAUUUUCAAUUCAGUUCAAAUUGUUAAUUUUUUGAAAAACUCACCAUCGGAAUUCAACUAAAUCUAACCAAAAGUGAAAUAUAGAUGGCUUCUUUAAUUUUUAACUUCUAGCAAUUGUAAUUACACUUUUACAAUUGAAAAAAUAAUGCAAAGCCUAAUUAUUAUUAUUUUUUCUUUUCAUUUACACUGCUCUGAUAAAUUUUCCGGCAUAUAUAACAAUGAUAAUAAAUUUGAUUGGGUUUUAACAAGUCCCUCUCAUGUGACCAUCUCAUAUGGGUAUUUGUCCAUAACUUAAAUGAUAAUUAUAUAUCUUAUUCACAUAGGUGGAUAGAUAAUUAGGUUGUCAUUUAACUAAAUAAUGAAAAAAUACUAAUAAGCAGAAGAUGAAAUUAUUUGAACUGCAAAGGAAGCACUCUUAAACCUUACACACUUCAAUUUUAAAAUUUUAACUUUUACUUAAGUACACAAUGAAAACACCAAAAUGAUCACAAUUAGAAAUCCCUGUCAUUAUGCAUUUUUUUUGCCUUUCUGCAUUCAAAAAAUGAUUUUCUUUUCCUCAUCUCUUAUUCCAUGUGAAUAUUGAGGGUCACUUGAUUAAACUAAUUUUUUUUCUCAACAAAUUUGCCAUCAUGAACGUAUAUUGGCUCUUACAUAAAAAGUUGACAAAGACAACCAUAGAGAAAAAGUAGUAGUAUAAUAAUUCUUCUUAAUUUGUAUUCAUUGAGGACGCAAGAAAAUAUAAUAGAUUAAACUUUUAUCAGGCAUUGUAAGUUUAAUCAAUCUCUCACCAUUAACAAAAAUUAAUUUUAAUGUAAAGAUUCAAGAUUAAAUUGACGAGAUACAGAAAAAUAGUACUAUCUAUUUGGUCCUGAGUAGUAUCAGUUUUUGUUCAAACAGUCAAAUCAGCCUGGCUAGCAACAUUUUAUCGACCACUCUACAACUGGCAAUAAACCUAGAAUGCAGCCUUUAUAGCAAUGAUAUUCCCAUACAGAUUAGGGGUGGGUAAAAUUAUAUUUGCCGCCAAAAAAAGGAAUCGUCAGUCUUUUUUUUUAGUAAAAAAAAAAUCCAUCGAUUUACAUGAGAGAAAAUAAAAAAUCAAAAAAACUAGAAAAACGCAAAAGAAAUUACAGGGCUAAUUAAAAAAAAAAACUAACUAAAUCGAACCAAAUUGAUUGGACUUUCAGUUCAGUUCAAAUUAUUAUUUUUUUGAAAAACUGACCAUCGGAAUUCAACUAUAUCUAACCUUUGCUCAGUGCCCACCCCUAUUAAUAUAGAUGGCUUCUUUAAUUUUUAACUUUCUAGCAAUUGUACUUACACUUUUACAAUCGAAAAAAAUAAUGCAAAGCCUAAUUAUUAUUAUUAUUUUUUUCAUUUAUACUGCUCUGAUCACUUUUCCGGCGUAUAAAACAAUGAUAAUAAAUUCAACUUAUUAUUUUUAUUGUUAGCUAAAUAGAGACGAUGCUUUCACUUUCAAGCACUGUAGAGAGAGGUGACUGAGGAAAAGUAUGGCUACUUACGUUUUUGGUGUUUAACGGCAACGCAGAUUGUCGAAUUGCUUGUAGUAUUGAACCCACAAUAAACGCAGAUUGUCGAAUUGCUUGUAGUGUUGAACCCACAAUAAUUCCCUUAAUUUUCGCAGUGGUAGCAUCCAUCAAGAGCUUCCCAUCCUAAGACUACUGGUCUUGCCCUGGCCGUCGUAGCAACAUCCUGCAGAGGUAAUCCACCAGGAAUCUCAACUGUUCGAGAUUUUCUGCAAGAUGGAGGCAUUUCCUCCAUUAAAUAUUCGCUAUAUAUGAUAUACACAAGAUUGUUUUCGCUGCCGAGACAAUUGAUCGGUCCAAUUGCUUCAAAAGGAGUCCGUUCUGAAGCAGCCUUCUCAGUGCAGUUAUAUAAAGCGUAACUGUCAUUAAAGGGAAGAAAAAAGAAUUUGGAGCUUGUGAGGUUGAAUGAGAUAAGACUUUGAAACGGGCAUGCAGUCUCAUUCACAUCUGUAAUGUUAAUACUGCUAUCUAGAUAAGAAAUUUCAUGGACAUAAUAAUCACCAGAGGAAGGAAGAUGCCAGAUUGCCUUGUCACUUAAGCAUGACAAUUCAAACCCUUCAAGGCCACAAGAUAUCGGUUGAGUUUUGAGUCUGAAGGGAUAUCUGAUGCUUGGGCUCCUAUUACUGCAUCUUGUUGGUUGACAGAAUUCAUAUUUAUCUGUCUUGUUGUCUUCCGCAGAAGCUUUGGCUAAUGUACAUGUAUAAGGUAAGAAGAGGACGAGGAUUAUUAAACUCAUCACGAGGGACAUGGAGGGCGAGGGAGAGUGGAGUUUGAGUUAGAGCGGGGUUUUGAGUUAUGCUUUUGGAGUAAUGAGGGAGAGCAGAGUUUGAUUGUCAAUUUGUCAAGGAAAAAGGUAGGAAAAUGGGUUUCUUUUAAUUUCUUCUGUUUUUCUAAGUCAAUGGUAGCCCCAAAGAGACUAGUCAACUUCAAAAUCUGCCAAUAUCAGAUGCAUGGAGGAACAAGAUGAGACUUGCUGUUUGUGAUAUAGAUUUUAGUGAGAGUUGCGAAAGUAAUUUGUCGGUAAAGAAAUGAGAAAAUUAUGUUUUUAAGAUCAGUAAGUAACGUUGUUCUUUAGAAAACGGGUAAUUCCUAGCAGCUAGCAUGAUAUAUCAGUGGGAGACUAAGGGUGUGUUUAGGAUUGAUGGGAACUAUGUGCCUUUAAAUUCACCAUUGUUGUGAGAUGGAAUUAUUAGCUAUUAAGUAAAAGUGGAUGCGUGGUGAUAUUUAGGUGUCUGCCAUAUACUUUGGUAAUUGUACUUUAAAUUAAGUUCAGCAGGAGCAAAGAGUGCAGCAAGCAGCGUUGGAAAAGGUUGAUGAAUGUACAUGAUCACAUGACAAACCUACAUCAUAUUCGGGUCAAUAUGAGCAAUAUUUGAAUAUUCACAUCAAACAAUGAAUCGUACUGAAAAUUUUCAACAUAAUGUUAUAGAAGCUCUGGUAGCACAAGGACAAUUUAUUUCUUUUUUACACAUAUCAUUGCCAAAACUAAGCAUAACUAUCAUUGAAAGAACAUUCCUCAAUCGAUUCAGACACUAACAACUCUGUUGAAGAAUCUGACUCAAUCUCUCUUCCGGAGAUAUGUCGAGAAGAAGAGAAGAAAGGUCUCGGAGGCAUUUGCAAAUCGUCAAUACUCCCUUCUAACAUUUCCAAAACUUUUGUCAUGGAGGGGCGAUCAGCUGCCUUCACCUGAAUACACCAUAAACCAAUCAUACACAGUUUCCUUGCAAUCAUGGACUCAAUUUCAGUCACAUUCCGAAGCUCUAAAUCACCUCCCUUAUUUAAUUGGUCAUAUACCCAAGAUGGGAAAUAUGCUUUGCUUGAACGAGUUGCAUGCAUAUUAGAAUUCCUUCUUCCGCCAGCCAUUUCCAACAACACCAUCCCAAAACCGUAAACAUCUGACUUGCAAGAAACAGUUCCAAAAUUCCUUGAAAUCAGCUCAGGUGCUAUGUAUCCUAUGGUUCCUCUUGUGGCACUGAUGGACACAAAAUCAUUUUCCUUGGGAUGAAACUUUGCAAGGCCGAAAUCUGAGACCUUUGGGAUGAAAUUAUGAUCUAGCAGGAUGUUGUGAGGCUUAAUGUCGAGAUGAAGAAUGCAGACAUCACAUCCGUUGUGUAAAUACUCGAUCCCACGGGCAGUUCCUAAAGCAACUUCAUGGAGUUUCUCCCAACAAAAAGAUUGGCCUCUACUCUCCUUGGGAAAGAUAUGCCUAUCGAGUGAUCCAUUAGGCAUAAACUCGUAGACAAGUGCGCGUUUGGAUCCCUCAGAACAGAACCCCAAUAACUGGACCACAUUAACGUGGUGAAUUCUACCUAUUGUUGAAACUUCGUUGAUGAAUUCCUCCGCACUGAACUUGGAGUUCUCCAGCAUCUUAACAGCAAUCAAGCGACCGGUAUGAAGCGAGAAAGACUAUUGGAGCAAGAAUAAAUCUACCAAUUAUCGGAACAUCAACUAGAAAACUUAUCCCAUUUCCCAUGGAAGGCCAAAAGAUUGCUAGGUAAAUUACUCUGUAAACUGCAAUUGGAGAGAAGGGGGAAAAAUUAAAUAAGCUUUAUACCUAAUCAGAGAGAUGAUUCAGAAAAAAAUUAUACAGUAAAAGAUUAGAGAAUAUAUGAAGCCGUCGCAUUUAUUAACGUCGAAAACACAUGAUCAAAAAGAUAUAUAAGGAUAUGCUUACGCAUAUAACAUGGGUAGCAAAUAAUUUUUGCCACUACUCCUUCAUUGUAUCUGAAGUUGCAAUCUGUUGCAAAAGUGAAAAGAAACAGAAAUUAAGGGUCACAUCGGUAUGCUCUUAGAUAUAGUUCACAAAUUCUUUAUUACGUACAAUAUUGAGAAACAAAAAACAAAUCGCUUGCAUUUGAAGGCAUAAAUAAACAUAAGCAUAGGCUUACACUCAGUAAAUGAGUUGUCCCUGCACUCAUCUAACCGUUUAAGAUCGAACCCUGACUCCAGCGAUUUUCGGAGGUCUUCAUAAGAAGGAUUGUCCACACUCCUAUUAAGUACUACAGGAACCUUUGAAAUAAAGACGCAUGAGUCUGGAAGAUCUGAUAUUCUGGCGUUGGUGACACCAUAUCCAACAUGUCCAACAUAAACAUAGACAUUCGACUGAUUGUUACUCAAACAUGGAACUUUCGUAUACGCCUGAUCAACAAUAUUACUUGAGCAAUUCACGUAAUGGGCGUAUGAUUUAAGAAUGUAACCGUUAAUAUGUCGGAAAAAGUAAGGAUAUGGGGAAAAAGAUUUGUACGGGAGGCCGCAGCUUCCAUUGGCUAGGUUAACAUCAGCAACACUGAUUGUACAUUUAUCAUGGGAAAUUCUCUUUACAUAGUACCUUGCAGAAUUGGACAAUUCUAAGAUGGUUUUGUUGUUCUCGCAAGAAAGUUCUAACUCCGGAUGACCGCAUCCAGCUGGAUCGCCCUUGAGGCGAAAAGGGUAGCUUAUGUUUCUGACAUCUCCACAAGAAGAAGAACACAUUUGUACUCCAAGUUUUCUUGCUUCAAUUUCACUGGUGCUGAAUACAAACAUCAACAGACAAAACAGAAAAGUUGAGAAAAUUGAAGCUUCUUCACUACUCAUUGCUCCUCCAAUUGCAGGAUACAAUUAACGAAUUUGAAUAAACUAAGCAGAACGGUAUAAAAGUGUUCAUUCGCUACGUUUUCUACAGUUUCACUUGCGCGGUGAGAGGCGGGCUUUAAACUUAUUAUAGUUUAGUAUACAACUAUGCGAUUGAAUUACUUAGCACUAAAUAAUUUGUUUUAAAAAUAAUAUUAAUUAUUCAUAAAAUGAAAUCGACACGAUGGAAGAAAAUUUUUAAUUACUGAGUGCUAGGCUUGUAGCAUUACUGCAAUGGGGACAAAUUUAGAUAAACAUGUUCAAUUUCGUUUCUUACUGUAAAUUUUUUAUGCGGAUGCCACGAAGCUUCUGGAGUCUCUUUCCACGAUUUGUUUAAGUGGAAGCUUUCAGAUUCCAAUGGGGAAGUCCAUACGGCAAGGAGAAGUCGCUUAAUUUCCUGGUAAUUGUAAAUGAGUUAGCAUCGGUGGGAAUGGGAUGAUCCAUCCCCAUCCUAGCUUGACCUCAAAUUUCUUGGUAAACGUUCUUCAACAUUAAAAGCGAUGGAACUUAUUGGAAACAGUUUCAAUGCAGUCCAAUUCCAGUUAAUAUCUUUCGCUUUCUUAAUUUCUCACCACCAAACACACUGGCGUACCCCACCUUUUUUUUUUUUUUUUCCUGACAGGAUUUGGAGAAACGCGGCAUUGGAAAUUUGGAGAGGGCCCGACGACCAACACUUUUAAAGCGACCAACAUGCAGAAGAAUGAGGACCUCUCAUGUCAUGUCACAAGUUUCUAAAAAUUAUGGUUGCUGUUGUAAUUAUUGUUAUUAUUAUUAUGAAUAAAGGAAGAUAUGUACAUUUAGAAUUAUGAUUAGGUACCCAGAGUUGAGUAAUAUAAUGCAUGAUAAGUUUUUAUUGGUGGAGUUGUGUUGUAGGCCCCACAACUCCACUAAUUGAAACACGUCAGGUGUGCGUGAUAGGCGUAUACGCCAUACAAUGCAUUAGUAUUUUUAUUAACUUUUUUUUAAAUAACUAAUAUACAGUAUAUUAGUAAAUUCACAUUUUAAAAGAUGUGGAAAUCCACACAUGAUAUAAUAUAUAUAUAUAUAUAUAUAUAUAUAUAUAUAUCUGCCUGAUAUAUAUAUAUAUAUAUAUAUCAAGAAUUUUAAAGUACGGAAAAGUCUGAAAAAAUUUUAAAACCGCACAGUUUUAAAUGUUUAUAGUUUUAAAGAUUUUUCAGACCUUCCCGCACUUUAAAAUCCUGAAUUGGAACAUUUAUGUAUAUAUAUAUGGAUAUGAGUCUAUCCUUGCGCAUUAGUUAUUUUUUGGGCGUUUUAAUGAUUUUGAUUUCAAAUGCCCAAUAUGAGCUGGGCUUCACAUUGAGACCACCAAAAUCCUAAAAGAAGUAUAAACCGUUAGACUGUAAUAAUGGAAACAAGUAAAUAUAUCAAAAAAUGAUAUUGGAAAAUUAAUGGUCGAAUACAUAGUUUGAUCAUAAGAUAUGACAACAAAUAAUAGAUUAUUAGAAUAACAAAAGGAUGUUAUUAAUAAUUUAUUUUUUUUAUCAUAUACGACGUUCAUUAAUCUCAAGUAGAUUAGAGUAGAAAUGAUAUAAUUUAUGACUAAAAUUUAGAUCAAUUUAUAUGUUAUUCAUCACACACAGUAUAUGAAUGAAAAAAGUUAGACCACCGAUGUAAUACUAGUUAGGCGCAAAGGGAACAAAAAAUCAAUGUGUUUUGAUAUUUCCACUUAAGUUACACACAACAAAUUCGAGCUAAGGAUACUUGAAUCUUAUGCUUGGUGCAACAUUUUGGUGUGUCUUUGUAAGCUAAUUUUUCAUGUGAUUUUUAAAACUCUCCAUUUCCGAUUCAAGAUUGGUUCUAUGAGUAGACUUCGUUGCCGUCAAGAGUCAAAAGUGUCACUACGAUAUUUUAUGAAGGCAAAUCACUUCUGCAUAGAUUUCCUCUCCAUCAAAUGUUUUCGUAUUAAUUUUGUGACAUUGUAACCAGUUCUGUUGUGUUUCAUGUGGUAUGUAUCACUGCCAUAAAUUGCUUUAAUGAAAUAAUCACUUAUUUCAAAUGUCGCAGCUGCAUUAGUAUAAUGUAUGUAUUGAUGUAAAAUUUGGUCAUGUUGUAUGCCACUUGUUUUUAAUGUCUGUCAUGUCGAAUUCAAAUCCAUAAAAUAAAUAUUGAUCAAAUGGUUAACUUGGCAGUCGAUAUAGGAAUAGUAGUCUCAUUGAAAAUGUACUAAAAAAACAAUAUAAUAACAUAUCUAUUGCAAAAGGCGAGCAAGAAAAGGAGGGAAAGUAAUGUAGACUGGAUUUAUCUCCAGCCUAAAAGGGGGAAGCACUUCAUAAAUUAAUGCGUUUAAGCCUGCAACCAUUUAUCUGGCAUACAAAGUCAUGCUACUGUAAACAAUUUAUCAAGCACUUUAAUGUCGUGCUGCUAUGGAUAUGCACGCUUCGAUGGCCAUUUCGCAGCUAUUUAUUAUUGUGGAGACAAAAGCGUAUCGAUUGGUGAUUUUUUUUCCUUAUUAAUAUUUGGUGCAUGUUUUGUUCUGAUUGAAGUAGAGGGCCCUAAUUUUCUGAAAUUUUGUUGACAGAAGAUAGAGAGCGCAUAAAUUAAAAUGCCAUUAAGCAAACGCAUUUUAAAUCUUUGUGCUCUCUGUAUUCUGUCAUCAACGUGCAGCUUCAUUUGGCCUUCAAAACUGUAGUGAUCUACUGAUCUUCUUCCAAGUGCUAUUUGUUAAUUUUCAUUUUAUUAUUAUUUUAUUUGUUCAUAUAUACACACACACACACACAGAGAUACACAGACACACACAUACAUACAUAUACAAUUAUACUCCUAAUAUAAUUAUAACUUUAUAAGUUAUGUAUACACAACUAAACCCAGUGUAUAUAUAUCCUCCAUGUAUGCGUAUCUAUAUUGUGAAAUGAGGCAAUUGGCGGCAUUCAAAAUGAAACCCCGCUUGAGGAGUUGAGAGAGAUUCAGAAUGGGGACUGCUCCUGUGAGCUGCUUUAUCACGGACGCUUUGGGCUUUUCAGAGGAGCAGAAUUAAAAGCCCACUAAUGACUUGGGCUAUUCUUGGAGGCAACCGCAGUCCAUAAAGAAGCAUAAAGCCAUGAACUGUUCCGUUGUUUUGUUCAUUUUUUUCCUUCUAGUCUGAUUCACUUCCGAAGUAGCUGUUGAGAAACUUAAAGAUGAAUAUAAUAUCAUGGACUUUAAUUCUUAAAUUUAACAAAUAUGAGAGUACAUUUUAAAAAAAUUGUAAAAACGUUGUAAGAAAGUAAAAUUUUGAAACAAGCAUGUGAUUAAAACAUAAAUGAAUCCCAACUUUAUUUUGGUUUUAAAGGAAAAAAAAAAAGCACCAUCAAAAAUAAAAUAUUCCUAAAUUUUAGUUGAGGGCAUGAUACGAGAACAUAUAUAAAUACAAGAAGAAUGUGAGAGAUAAUAUUAAGAUUUUUAUAUUUUAAAAUAAUAAAUUUCGUUCAUCUCAAUUUUCAAGUACAUAAUAGAAGUACAAUAGUAGGUCCUCAACUAAUAUGACAAAUUGAAAAAAGUCAUCUAUAAUUGUAUUAAUGUUGUGUCAGUCGAACACAUCAAAGAUUUUAAGUGAUUGAUAAAACAACUACAAUAGAAUAAAAACUCAAUAUACUGGUUUUCAAGUGUUCCAAUAACAAGGAGGACUAAAUAAUUUUUCUUAUAAUCGGGGAAAUUUUGAAACAAAUUAACAAUAUAUCUUUUAAAUUGUAAUCUUCUAUUAUCUAGAUCAAUUGAUUGCACCUGUCUCAACAUCAGAAGAGACAAAGGGCAUUGGAGGGAUCUCCAAGCUUUGAAAAUCAGCUUCAAGCAUUUGUAAUACCAUUGGCAUGGAAGGUCUCUCCGUGGGAUUCCAUUGAAUGCACCAAAGUGCCACAAUUGCAAGCUUUCUGGCAAUUCCCUCAUCCCCAUCUUCCUCAAAUUCCAAACAGAGCUCUUGUCCUUGCCUCAUUCUAUUGUAAAUCCACUCCGGAAAAUAUAUUUGGCUCUGAAUUUCAACCGCAGGAUCAUUAUUUUUUCUGCAUCCGACCAUCUCUAACAGCAUCAUUCCGUAACUGUAAACAUCAGACUUGUAAGAGAUCUCACCAAAAUUCCUGGAGAAAAGUUCAGGUGCAAUGUAGCCAGAAGUGCCUCUGGCAGCUGUCAGAGAUACAAUGCUUAUGUCCUUUGAGCACAACUUAGCCAGUCCAAAAUCUGAAAUCUUCGGUUGAAAAUUAUGGUCUAAUAAUAUAUUGUGAGGCUUGAUAUCGAAGUGCAGGAUCCUCUGGUUGCAUCCUUGGUGCAAGUACUCCACUCCACGGGCAACGCCAAAUGCAAUCUUCCUCAGCUUCUCCCAACUCAAUUGACGGUGACUUGAGCUAUUUGUCUUUGAGAAGAUGAAUUUCUCAAGUGAUCCAUUGGGCAUAAACUCGUAAAUAAGAGCGCGACGAUUCCCUUCAGAGCAAAAUCCCAGAAGCCGAACAAUGUGAAAGUGGUGAAUCCUGCCAAUUGUGGCCACUUCAUUGAUGAACUCUUGUCCAUUUCCUUUUAAAUGUUCCAACAUCUUGACAGCAACUGGAAUUCCGUUGAAGAGUUUUCCUCUGAACACACUUCCAUAACCUCCCUGGCCGAGCCUGUGCUUAAAUCUGCUUGUUAUUUUCUUCAGUUCUUUGUAAGUAUAUCUGGUGGGAUUGACGGUCCUGUAGUUUUCGAGGAACUUCUCCACCUUCAGUUGAGUCUCUUUUUCUUUUUCAGAUUCUCUUGAUCUGUAAAUGAGAAAUAUCACUAAUGCAAAGAGGGUGAUGCCUCCAAUGCUUGUGCCUGUGGAUAUUAGACUUAUUGAUAAAGGGCCAGGACCAUCUGUUAUAUAUAACUAAGAAAAGUUAGUUAAAAAAUUAACUCAAACAAUAAAAUGAGAUGCUAAAAGUCUGGACCCGUGCAAGCUUAACUUGGUAGCAUAAAGACUCUAAUAUCAUUUGAUUGGGUUUUAACAAGUCCCUCUCAUGUGACCAUCUCAUAUAUAGGUAUUUUUUCAUAACUUAAACUAUAAUUAGGUAUCUUAUUCAUAUGGGUGGAUAGAUAAUUAAUUUUUCAUUUAACUAAAUAAAGAAAAAAUAAUAAUAAGCAAAAGGAUGAAAUUAUUUGAACUGCAAAGUAAGCACUCUUUUACCUUACACACUUUAAUUUUAAAAUUUUAACUUUUACUUGAGUACACAAUGAAAACACCAAAAUUAUCACAAUUAGAAAUCUCUGUCUUUAUGUUUUUUUUUUUCCCUUUCUGCAUUCACAAAAUGAUUUUUUUCCCCUCAUCUCUUAUUCCAUGUGAAUAUUGAGGGUUACUUGAUUGAACAAAUUUUUUUCUCAAUAAAUUUUCCAUCAUGAACUUAAUCAUAGAGAAAAAGUAUUAGUAUAAUAAUUCUUCUUAAUUUGUGUUCAUUGAGUACGCAAGAAAAUAUAAUAGGUUAAACUUUUAUCAGGCAUUGUGAGUUUAAUCAAUCUCUCACCAUUUACGAAAAUUAAUUGUAAUAUAAAGAUUCAAAGAUUAAAUUGACGAGAUAGAGAAAAUUAGUAUUAUGUAUUUGGUCCUGAGUAGUAUCAAUUUUUCUUCAAACAGUCAAAUCAGCCUGGCUAGCAACAUUUUAUUAACCAAUCUACAACUGGCACGAAUACCAGAAAGCAGCCUUUAAUAGCAAUGAUAUUCGCCAUACAGAUUAGGGGUAGGUAAAAUUAUAUUUGCCGCCAAAAAAAUGAAUCGUUAGUCUUUUUUUUUUUUGGUUAAAAAAAAAUCCAUCGAUUUAUAUGAGAGAAAAUAAAAAGCCAAAAAAACUAGAAAAACGCAAAAGAAAUUACAGGUCAAAGGGAAAAAAAAAAGCCUAACUAAAUCGAACCAAAUUGAUUGGAUUUUCAAUUCAGUUCAAAUUGUUAAUUUUUUGAAAAACUCACCAUCGGAAUUCAACUAAAUCUAACCAAAAGUGAAAUAUAGAUGGCUUCUUUAAUUUUUAACUUCUAGCAAUUGUAAUUACACUUUUACAAUUGAAAAAAUAAUGCAAAGCCUAAUUAUUAUUAUUUUUUCUUUUCAUUUACACUGCUCUGAUAAAUUUUCCGGCAUAUAUAACAAUGAUAAUAAAUUCAACUUAUUAUUUUUAUUGUUAGCUAAAUAGAGACGAUGCUUUCACUUUCAAGCACUGUAGAGAGAGGUGACUGAGAAAAGAUAUGGUUACUUACGUUUUUGGUGUUUAACGGCAACGCAGAUUGUCGAAUUGCUUGUAGUGUUGAACCCACAAUAAUUCCCUGAAUUUUCGCAGUCGUAGCAUCCAUCAAGAGCUUCCCAUGUUAAGACUACUGGAGUUGCCUUCGCCGUCGUAGCAAUAUCCUGAAGAGGUAAUCCGGCGGGAAUCUCAACUGUUCGAGAUUUUCUACAAUAUGGAGGCAUAUCAUCCAUUGAAGAUUCGCUAUCUAUGGUAUAGACAAGAUUGUUUUCAUUGCUAAGACAAUUGAUCGGUCCAAUUAGUUCAAAUACAGACCGUUCUGCAGCAGCCUUCUCAGUGCAGUUAUAUAAAGCGUAACUUUCAGUAAAGAAUUUGGAGUGUGUGAGGUUGAAAGAGAUAAGACUUUGAAACGGGCAUGCAGUCUCAUUCACAUCUGUAAUGUUAAUACUGCUGUCCAGAUAAGAAAUUUCAUGGACAUAAUAAUCACCAGAGGAAGGAAGAUGCCAGAUUGUCUUGUCACUUAAGCAUGACAAUUCAAACCCUUCAAGGCCACAAGAUAUUGGUUGAGUUUUGAGUCUGAAGGGAUAUCUGAUACUUGGGUUCCUAUUACUGCAAUUUGUUGGUUGACAGAAUUCAUAUUUAUCUGUCUUGUUGUCCUCUGCAGAAGCUUUGGCUAAUGUACAUGUGUAAGGUAAGAAGAGGAAGAGGAUUAUUAAACUCAUCACGAGGGACAUGGAGGGAGAGGGAGAGCGGAGUUUGAGUUAGAGCAGAGUUUGAGUUAUGCUUUUGGAGUAAUAAGGGAGAGGAGAGUUUGAUUGUCAAUUUGUCAUGGAAAAAGGUAGGAAAAUGGGUUUCUUUUAAUUUCUUCUGUUCUUUCCUUCUCUCUUUUCUCCUUUUUCUAAGUCAAUGGUAGCCCCAAAGAGACUAGUCAACUUCAGUAUCUGCCAAUAUCAGAUGCAUGGAGGAACAGGAUGGGACUUGCUGUUUGUGAUAUAGAUUUUAGUGAGAGUUAUGAAAGUAAUUUGUAGGUAGGAAAUGAGAAAAUUAUGUUUUUAAGAUCAAUAAGUAAUGUUCUUUAGAAAACCGGUAAUUCCUAGCAGCUACCCUCCGCUUACCAUGAUAUAUCAGUGUGAGACUAAGGGUAUGUUUAGGGUUGAUGGGAACUAUGUGUCUUUUAAUUCACCACUGUUGUGGGAUUGAAUUAUUAGCUAUUAAGCAAAAGUGGAUGUGUGGUGAUAUUUAGGUGUCUCCCAUAUACUUUGGUAAUUGUACUUUAAAUUAAGUUGAGGAGGAGCACAGAGUUCAAAGCAUACUCUAGCUCAAUCAGAUAUGCAGCAAGCAGCGUUGCAAAAGGUUGAUGAAUGUACAUGAUCACGUGACAAACCUACAUCAUAUUCUGGUCGAUAUGAGCAAAAUUGGAAUCUUCACAUCAAACAAUGAAUCGUACUGAAAUUUUUCAACAUAAUGUUUUAGAAGCUCUGGUAGCAUAAGGACAAUUUAUUUCUUUUUUACACAUAUCAUUGCCAAAAUUAAGCAUAACUAUCAUUGAAAGAACAUUCCUCAGUCCAUUCAGACACUAAGAACUCUGUUGAAGAAUCUGAUUCAAUCUCUCUUCCGGAGAUAUGUCGAGAAGAAGAGAAGCAAGGUUUAGGAGGCAUUUGCAAAUCGUCCAUACUCCCUUCUAACAUUUCCAAAACUUUUGUCAUGGAGGGGCGAUCAGCUGCCUUCACCUGAAUACACCAUAAACCAAUCAUACACAGUUUCCUUGCAAUCACGGACUCAAUUUCAGUCACAUUCCGAAGCUCUAAAUCACCUCCCUUAUUUAAUUGGUCAUAUACCCAAGAUGGGAAAUAUGCUUUGCUUGAACGAAUUGCGUUCAUAUUAGAAUUCCUUCUUCCUCCAGCCAUUUCCAGCAACACCAUCCCAAAACCGUAAACAUCUGACUUGCAAGAAACAGUUCCAAAAUUUCUUGAAAUCAGCUCCGGUGCUAUGUAUCCUAUGGUUCCUCUUGUGGCACUGAUGGACACAAAAUCAUUUUCCUUGGGAUGAAACUUUGCAAGGCCGAAAUCUGAGACCUUUGGGAUGAAAUUAUGAUCUAGUAGGAUGUUGUGAGGCUUAAUGUCAAAAUGCAGAAUGCACAUAUCACAUCCGUUAUGUAAAUACGCGACCCCACGAGCUGUUCCUAAGGCAAUUUCCUGGAGUUUCUCCCAACCAAAAGUUUGGCCUUUAUUUUCCUUGGGAAAGAUAUGCCUGUCGAGUGAUCCAUUAGGCAUAAACUCGUAGACAAGUGCACGUUUGGAUCCCUCAGAACAGAACCCCAAUAACUGGACCACAUUAACGUGGUGAAUUCUACCUAUUGUUGAAACUUCGUUGAUGAAUUCCUCCGCACUGAACUUGGAGUUCUCCAGCAUCUUAACAGCAAUCAAGCGACCGGUAUGAAGUUGUCCUUUAUAAACUGAACCAAAGCCACCUUGGCCUAAUUUAUGAGUGAAGUGGUUUGUCACGGCAAUUAUCUCAGGGUAAGAGUACCUUUUAGGCAUCCACGAUUGCUGGUUGUGCAGAAAUUUCUCAAUAUUAUCAACUGUUUGCAAUGUCGUUCUCUAUUUGUGGAUAAGGAACACGAGAAAGACUAUUGGAGCAAGAAUAAAUCUACCAAUUAUCAGAACAUCAACUGGAAACCCUGGAAAAGAGAACGUUUAUUGAAAGUAAAUAGUAGUAAGCAAAGCAAUAAAAAGAGGAUCCUGGAGAGGAGAUUUUACCUAACAGAAAACUUAUCCAAACCCCCAGUCUUGAUUCUAUGUUACGGUAGGAACGCCGCGAGAUUUCAUGGAAAACUGCAGUUGGAGAUAGAAAAAAUUAAGCUUUAUAUCUAAUCAGAGAAAUGAUUCAGAAAAAAGUUAGAAAGUAAAAGAUUAGAGAGUACAUAAAGCCAUCACAUUUAUUAACAUCGAAAACCCAUAAGCAAAAUGAUAUGUAAGGAUCUGCUUACGUAUGUCAUCUUGGUAGCAAAUAAAUUUUCUGAUUAUUCCUCCAUAGUAAUCAUUGCAUUCUGGAAAGACUGCAAAAGUGAAAAAGAAACAGAAAUUAAAGGUCAUAUCGGUAUGCUCUUAGAGAUAGUUCACAAAUUCUUUAUUACGUAGAAUAUUGGAAAACAAAAACAAAGCCCUUGCAUUUGAAUGCAUAAAUAAAUAUAAGCAUAAGCUUACAGUGAGUCAUUGGGAGGCUCCAGCUCCAAUCUGACCAUGUAAGAUCGAACCCUGACUCCAGCAAUUUUCGGAGGUCUUCAUAAGAAGGUUUGUCCACGCUCCCAUUAAGUACUACAGGAACCUUUGUAAUGAAGGCGCAUGAGUCUGGAAGAUGUGUGGUUUCGAUGAAAUCAGGUGCAACAUAAACAUAGACAUUCGACUGAUUGUUACUCAAACAUGGAACUUUCGCAUACGCCUGAUCAACAAUAUUACUCGAGCAAUUCACGUAAUAGGCGUAUGAAUUAAGAUUGUAAUCAAAAUAAUAUCUGAAAAUUAAACCAGGUGGGGAAAAAGAAGUGGAUGGGAAGCUGCAGCUUCCAUAGGCUAAGUUAGCAUCGACAACACUGAUUGUACUCUUAUCAUAGGAAAUUCUCUUCACAUAGUACUUUCCAGAAUUGGAUUCUAAGAUGGUUUUGUUGCUCUCGCAAGAAAGUUCUAACUCCGGAUGACCGCAUCCAGCUGGAUCGCCCUUGAGGUGAAGAGGGUAGCUUAUGUUUUUGCCAUCUCCACAAGAAGAAGAACACUUUUCUACUUCAAGUUUUCUUGCUUCAAUUUCACUGGUGCUGAAUACAAACAUCAACAGACAAAACAGAAAAGUUGAGAAAAUUGAAGCUUCUUCACUACUCAUUGCUCCUCCAAUUGCAGGACACAAAUAACGAAUUUGAAUCAACUAAGCAGAACGGUGUAUAAGUGUUAAUGCACUACGUUUUCUACCGUUUCAUUUGCACGGUGAGAGGCGAGCUUUAAACUUAUCAUAGUUUAGUAUACAACUAUGUGAUUGAAUUAAUUAGCACUGUUGUGUGUGAAAGCAAAUCCAGAAAGCCCAAACGACAGAAGACCUUGCGUUUGAAGCUGAAAUCACUUAAGCCAAACGACAGAGAUACGUGCGUUUUGAUGAGCAAAUUAAACGCUCCUCAGAACGACAUACAAGCUUGCCGUUUAGCUUUAAGUAACGCAUGCGAACAUCACGUGCUUGUAUCCAGCUCACAAGGUUCGUUAAAAUGCCGUUAAAGCACGAGGAACUCACGUGAGUUGCUGGGUAAUUCUGGGUUCAUUAUGAAGCUGUUAUGAAGCAGCUGAUUCUGGUGCAAGAGAUUCAAGAGUGUAGAGAGCUGUAGAGAGAGAUAGGGCUGGAAUAAAUAAGCAGUCCAGAUCUUGUAUUAAGGCUCAUAGCAUUGCUCUGUAAAUCAUCUUGAGAAUCAAUGAAAGCUGGUCAUAUUUGCCCUCCCGUGGAUGUAAGCUAGAGAGAUCUAGCUGAACCACGUUAAACCUUUCUUGUUCCUUGCUCUUUCUAAUUCUUCUGUUUUCUUAAUUCUGUUUGGUUGAUCAUCAUCACUUCCAUUAAUUCAACUUAGUUAGAUUCUGUAGUAAUCAAUCUUGAAGCAUCUUGGUGAAUUUGGUUUGCGAUCUUUGGCAGGAUCUAAGGUUGCUUGGUCUGUUUAUAGCAUCUUAGGUUCUACAAGCACCAAAAUAAUUUGUUUAAAAAUAAUAUUAAUUAUUCAUAAAAAUGAAAUCGACACGAUGGAAGAAAAUUUUUAAUUACUCAGCGCUGGGCUUUUAGCAUUAAUGCAAUGGAAGAUAAAGGGACAAAUUUGGAUAAACAUGUUCAAUUUCGUUUCUUACGGCAAAUUUUUCAUGCGGAUGCCAGGAAGCUUCUGAAGAGGUGUAAGCUUUCAAAUUUCAAUGGGGAAGUCCAUACGGCAAAGUGAAGUCACUUAAUUUCCUGGUAAUUGUAAAUGAGUUAGCAUCGGUGGGAAUGGGAUGAUCCGUCCCCAUCCUAGCUUGACCUCAAGUUUCUAAGUAAAUGUUCUUCAAUAUUAAAAGCGAUAGAACUUAUUGGAAACAUUUUCCAUACAUGUUGUCCAAUUCCAGUAAAUAUCUUUUGCUUUCUUAAUUUUUCUCACCACCAAACGCAAUGGCUUACUUUAUUUAUUUAUUUACUUUAACAGGAUUUGGAGAAACGCGGCAUUGGAAAUUUGGAACGGCCCCCGACGACCAACACCUUUAAAGUGACCGACAUGCAGAAGAAUGAGGACUUCUCAUCUCAUGUCAUGUUCACGCGUUUCUAAAAAUUAUGGUUUGCUGUUGUAAUUAUUAUUAUUAUUAUCAUUACUACUACUACUUUGAAUAAAAAAAUUUAUUUAUAUUUAAAAUUAAGUUAAAUUCCGUCAUGUCCCUAAAUAUUUCAACAUUUUCCACCGCGUCCCCAAAUCUUUCAAUAAUUUCCACGCCACACUCAAAUCUAUUAAUUUGACCGUUUAUUCUAAUGGUCAAAGGAAAAAUUUAGAAGUUCAUGCCCUAAAUAUUAUUUGAUGAUAAUAGAUUAAAUUUAUUUGAUAAAUUAAUUGAUGGGAUUAUUAUUAAUUACCUUUAAUUAAGAAUUUUUAUCUCAUUUAAUUCUUCUCUAAUUCAAGAUAAGGGACGUUUAGGAUAUUUAACUAAAUUUCAAAUAACUCCGUUAAAAAUAACGGUCAAAUUAAUGGAAUUAGGUGUAAGGUGGAAAUUAUUAAAACAUUUGGGUGUGCGGUGGAAAAUAUCGAAACAUUUGCGGGCUGGGUGGAAAUAACGCGUAAAAUUACGAUCAGGUGCGCACAAUCGCACAAUAUAUAAUGCAUGAUAAGUUUUUAUAUUGUAGGCGUGUGUGGCGGCAUGUAUAUGCCAUAUAGUGCAUUAGUAUUUUUAUUAAUUUUUUCAAUUAACUAAUAUACAAUAUAUUUCUGUAGUGUAUUGAAAUCUAAAUUUUUUUUUAUCUUUUAUCUUAUCCCUUACUUUUGACAAAUCAAUUAUGUCAAAAAAGGCCAUGAGAAUAUGAGUUUAUCCUUGCGCAUUGGGGACUAUUUGGGCUUUUAAAUUAUUUAAAUUUCGAAUGCCUAAUGUGAGUUGGGUUUCAUAUUGAGACCACCAAAAUUCAGAAGAAAAAAAACAUAAAUCGUGAUUAUGGAAACAAGUAAAUAUAUCAAAUAAUGAUAUUGUAAAAUUAACGGUCAACUACAUAGUUUAAUCAGAGGAUGUGAUGGCAUAUAAUAGAUUAUUAGAAUAACAAAAGAGAUGAUAUUAAUAAAAAAAUUUUAUCAUAUACAACGUUCAUUAAUAUCAAGUAGAUUAGAGUACAAAUGGUAUAAUUUAUAACAAAACUUUAAAUCAAUUUAUAUGUUACUCAUCACACACAGGAUAUAGAUGGAAAAGUUAGACCAACGAUAUAAUACUAGUUAGGCCAAAGGGAAAAAAAUUCAACGUGUCUUGAUAUUUCCACUUAAGUUACACACAACAGAUUCGAGGUAAGGAUACUUGAAUCUUAUGCUUGGUGCAACAUUUUGAUAUGUCUUCGUAAGCUAAUUUUUCAUGUGAUUUUUAAAACUUUCCAUUUCCGAUUCAAGAUUGGUUCUGUGAGUACUGAGUAGACGUCUUUGCUCCUCCAAUUCCAGGACACAAUUAACGAAUUUGAAUAAACUAAGCAGAACGGUGUAUAAGUGUACAUGAACGUUGGCGCAUUCAAUGGAAUUGCCAAUUCCAACGGUGUAUAAGUGUACGUGAACCAAUUCCAGGACACAACUAACGAAUUUGAAUAAACUAAGCAGAACGGUGUAUAAGUGUUAAUGCGCUAUGUUUUCUGCAGUUUCACUUGCACGGUGAGAGGCGGGCUUUAAACUUAUCAUAGUUUAGUAUACAACUAUGUGAUUGAAUUAAUUAGCGCUAAAUAAUUUGUUUAAAAAAACUAUUAAUUAUUCAUCAAAUGAAAUCGACACGAUGGAAGAAAAUUUUUAAUUACUGAGUGCUGGGCUUCUAGCAUUAAUGCAAUGGAAGAUAAAGGGACAAAUCUAGAUAAACAUGUUCAAUUUCGUUUCUUACUGUAAAUUUUGUAUGCGGAUGCCGCGUAGCUUCUGAAGUCUCUUUCCACGAUUUGUUUAGGUGGAAGCUCUCAGAUUUCAAUGGGGAAGUCAAUACGGCAAAGUGAAGUCGCUUAAUUUCCCGGUAAUUGUAAAUGAGUUAGCAUCGGUGGGAAUGGGAUGAUCCAUCCAUCCCCAUCCUAGCUUGACCUCAAUUUUCUUAGUAAACGUUCUUCAAUAUUAAAAGCGACAUAACUUAUUGGAAACAGUUUCCAUGCAUGCAGUCCAAUUCCAAUCAAUAUCUUUCGCUUUCUUAAUUUUUCUCACCAAACGCAAUGGCUUACUUUAUUUAUUUAUUUAUUAAUUUUAACAGGAUUUGGAGAAACGCGGCAUUGGAAAUUUGGAACGCCCCCCGACGACCAACACUUUUAAAGCGACCGACACGCAGAAGAACGAGGACUUCUCAUGUCAAGUUCACGCGUUUCUAAAAAUUAUGGUUGCUGUUGUAAUUAUUAUUGUUACUAUUAUUAUUUUUAUGAAUUAAGAAAGAUAUAUAUAUAUAUAUAUAUGUAUGUAUGUAUUUAAAAUUAUGAUCAGAUGCAUCGCAAAAUAUAUAAUGUAUGAUAAGUUUUUAUGUUGUAGGCGUGUGUGACGGCACAUAUAUGCCAUUUAGUGCAUUAGUGUUUUUAUUAACUUUUUUCAAUUAACUAAUAUAUAAUAUAUUAGUAAAUUCAUGUUUUAAAAGAUGCAGAAUUCCACACAUGACAAAAUAUAUGUGUGUAUGUGUCUAUAUAUACAAACACUUUUGACAAAUCGGUUAUGUCAAAAAAGGCCAUGAGAAUAUGAGUCUAUCUUUGCGUAUUGGGGAUUAUUUAAGCUUUUUAAUGAUUUAAACUUUGAAUGCCCAAUAUGAGUUGGGCUUCAUAUUGAGAACCCCAAAGUAAAAAAAAAAAAAAACAUAAAUUGUUAGACUAUGAUUAUGGAAACAAGUAAAUAUAUCAAAUAAUGAUAUUGGAAAAUUAAUGGUCGAAUACAUAGUUUGAUCAUGGGAUAUGACAACAUAUAAUGAUAUUAAUAAUUUUUUUUAUCAUAUACGACGUUCAUUAAUCUCAAGUAGAUUAGAGUACAAAUGGUAUAAUUUUUGACUAAAAUUUAAAUCAAUUUAUAUGUUAUUCAUCACACACAGUAUAUAGAUAGAAAAAGUUAGACCACCGAUAAAAUACUAGUUAGGCGCAAAGAGAAAAAAAAAAUCAAUUUGUCAUGAUAUUUCCACUUAACUUACAUACUACAGAUUCGAGCUAAGGAUACUUGAAUCUUAUGCUUGGUGCAACAUUUUGAUGUGUCUUCGUAGGCUAAUUUUUCAUGUGAUUUUCAAAACUCUCCAUUUCCGAUUCAGGAUUGGUUUUAUGAGUAGCUCUCUUUGCCGUCAAGAGUCAAAGUGUCACCAUGAUAUUUUAUGAAGGCAAAUCACUUCCGCAGAGAUUUCCUCUCUGUCAAAUGUUUUCGUAUUAAUUUUGUGACAUUUUAACGAGUCCUGUUGUGUUUCAUGCGGCAUGUAGUUCUACUGUAAAUGGCUUUAAUGAAAUAGUCGCUCAUUUCAAAUGUCACAGACUCGCAGCUGCAUUAGUAUAAUGUAUAUAUUGAUUUAAAAUUUGGUCAUGUUGUAUGCCACUUGUUUUUAAUAUUUGUCAGGUCGAAUUCAAAUCCAUAAAAUAAAAUAUUGAUCAAAUGAUUAACUUAGUAGCCGAUAUGGCAAUAGCAGUCUCUUUGAAAAUGUGCUGCUAAAAAACACAAUAUAAUAACAUAUCUAUUGUAAAAGGCGGACAAGAAAAGGAGGGAAAGCAAUGUAGACUUGAUUUAUCUCCAGCUUAACAGGGGGAAGCACUUCAUAAAUUAAUGCUUUUAAGCCUGCAAACAUUUAACUAGCAUCAUGCAUACAAAUACCUUGCUACUGUAAACAAUUUAUCAAGUACUUCAAUUUCGUGCUGCUGUGGAUAUGCCUGCUUCCAAGGCUAUUCAGCUGCUAUUUAUUAUUGUGGAGACAAAAGCAUAUCGAUUGGUGAUUUUUUUUUCCUCUUUAAUAUUUGGUGCAUGUGUUUGUUCUGAUUGAAGUAGAGGGUGCUAAUUUUCUGAAAUUUUGUUGACAGAAGAUAAAGAGCACAUAAAUUAAAAUGUCAUUAACCAAACGCAUUUUAAAUCUUUGUGCUCUAUGUAUUCUGUCAUCAACGUGUAGCUUCAUUUGACCCUCAAAAUUGUAGUGAUCUACUGAUCUUCUACCAAGUGCUACUCGAUAAUUUUCGUAUGAUUAUUAUUUUGUUUGUUCACACACACACACACAUAUACAUAUAUACUUGUAGUAUAAUUAUAACUUUGUAAGUUAUGUAUACACAACUACACCCAGUGUAUAUAUAAUAUUAUAUAUAUCCUCCAUACAUGCAUAUGAGCAUAUCUAUAUUGUGAAAUGAGGCAAAUGGCGGCAUUAAAAGCCCACUAAUGACUUGGCAGAUUCAGAAUUGGGACUGCUCCUGUGACCUGCUUCAUCGUGGACGCUUUGGGCUUUUCAUAGGAGCAGAAUUAAAAAGCCCACUAAUGAAUUGGGCUAUUCUUGGAGGCAACCACAGUCCAUAAAGAAACAUAAAGCCAUGAACUGUUCCCUUUUUUGGUUUAUUUUUUUCCUUCUAGUCUGAUUCACUUCCAAAGUAGCUGUUUGACAAACUUAAAGAUGAAUAUAAUAUCAUGGACUUUAAUUCUUAAAUUUAACAAAUAUGAGAGCACAUUUAAAAAAAGAAUCAUAAGAACGUGGUAAGAAAGUAAAAUUUUGAAACAAGCAUGUGAUUAAUUAAAACAUAAAUGAAUCCUAACUUUAUUUUGGUCUUAAGGAAAAAAAAAUCAUCAUGAAAAAUGAAAGCUUCCUAAAUUUUAUUUGAGCGCAUGAUACGACAACAUAUACAAAUACAAGAAGAAUAUGAGAGAUAAUAUUAAGAUUUUUAUAUUUUAAAAAAAUAAAUUUCAUUCAUCUCAAUUCUCAAGUAGGUAAUAGAAAUACAGUAGUAGGUCCUCAACUAAUAUUCAGAUCAAUUUACACGCAACUCAUCAUAGUAGUUUAGAUGGACAGGUCAUUGAUAUUUUAUAACCCCCCACCUAUAACUUUCUUACAACGAAUUCAAAUUAGUGAUCAUUAAGAAUGUUUGAAUCGUACGUUCAGCGCAAUAUUUGAUGUGUUUUAAGUAAUUUAAAAAGAAAUUUAACGAAUAAAAUAUAUAAAAUAAGAUUUUAUUAGCUAUGCUAAGGCCAUCAAUAAUUUUUUUAUUUUUUAUUUUGUUUCUAGCCGAAACUUAUCCUUCGAGAUUUGGUUCUACAAGUAGACCUCCUUCACCUUGCCGUCAAAAGUCAAGUGCCAUGUAAUGAGUGUAGGAUAUGAUGGAAAAUCAUUUUAACAUGAUAAAAAAAUGAAUCUCGAACCUUUUGACUAAAAUUCACUUUUUAAUUAAAAACCUUAUUUUGUAACGUGCCCUCCGCAACUCGUUGGAAUCAAAAGCAUUUAUUACAAAUUCGAGUACUUUUUUCGUUUGUGCACUUUUGCACUUUUUUACAGAUUUAUUAUAAACAAAUAAUUAUAAUUUAAUUUCAGCAGCACUUAAUUAAUUAAAAAUGAAUUUUAAAUCUUUAACUACCUCAAUGAACCAAAUUUUAUUAUCUACUAAUCACUUUUAAUCGAUUUAUCAAAAGUAAUCAAUCCUUCUCAAUUAAUUGUUUCUUUUUUAAAUUUUAAUUUACUCCUAAGUCUUAAAUAUAUCAUAAUAUGAGGAAGUAGUGUUUAUACAACAGAACCCAAUUAUUAUAAACACCCAAAAAAAAAAAAAACAAAAAAGAGGACAGAGCGAGAGAAAGAAAACAAAAAAGAUGGAAAAUUUACAGCAAUAAAAGAACCCCAAAGAGCUCCUAAAAAAUUCCGAAAAAAUAUUAAAAAAACUAAAAUUCCUAAAAAUUCUAAACUAAUUAACAAAAAACAAAAAAGAAAGAAAGAAAGCGUAUGGUCGAAACUACCACCAACUCAUUGUUAAUCCAAUCCCAGGAUACGAUGAAUGUCAAUAAAUUAAACAGAAGGCCGCAUUUUCAAAGUUUUGGAUACGUAUUUACAUCAUUACUUGACAAUUUAGUAAAUAUAUUAUAGCAUUCAACUAUCUGAUUCUACUAGCUGAAAAUGAUUUAGCAAUAAUUAAUUGUUCAAAAAUAGUAUUAUCUUAUUCUUAAAAAAAAUCAACAAAGAUGGGGAAAUUAAAAAGGUUUAAAAGAGCAUAUUAAUUUUAUUUGUUGAGUGCAAGACUCGUAGCAUUCAUGCAAUGGGGGAUUUCGGACACUCUUACAAGUCAGUCAACUCUCAGUAAACGUUUUGAUUGCAAGUUUGCGUCGGUGAUGAUUUUUUGUCAUUACUUUUGGUAAAAUAAUGAAGAAAAUUUCCACUUCAGAGUUUUAAGUUAAGCUUAGCACACCUCUAGUUAUAUUCUUUUGCCACCAAUAUGGACAGAUUCAAAUCUCAAACUUGUUGUAUCAACUCAAAAGAUUUCAACAACUAAAUUAUCUAUCACUCGCGAAAAGUGUGUGCAUUAGGCUCCAAUUCGAGAUAAAGCAAUGAGAAGAAGAAUAACAUUUGUCAUUAAUUGCACGCUAUUCAUUUAUUUAUUUUACAUUCAUCAUUGGAAAAAUGAAACCUAAAUAUCACUGAAAGAUCAUUCCUUCACUGAUUCAGACAUUAACAACUCCGUUGAAGAAUCUGAUUCAAUCUCUCUUCCGGAUAUAUGACGAGAAGAAGAUGAGAAAGGUUUUGGAGGCAUUUGCAAAUCGUCAAUACUCCCUUCUAAAAUUUCCAAAACUUUUUGUCACAGAGGAGCGAUCAGCGCCUUAGUCACAGCUCAGGUAAUAUUUUAACCUAUAUAUUGUUCCUCCUGUGGCGCUGAUGGGAGCAAAAUCAUUUUCCUUGGGAUGAAAUUUUGCAAGGGCCGAAAUCUGAGCCGUUGGGGAAGGAAUUAGGAUCUAGCAGGAUGUUGUGAGACUUAAAUGUUGAAAUGAAGACUGCACACAUCACAUCCGGCCGUUCUGUAAAUACUCGAUCCCGCGAGCCUUUUCUAAAGCAACCUAGCUCAUGGAGUUUCUGCCAACUACCCUCCUUGGGAACUAUAAGCCUAUCAAUAAAGGAAUGCUCUUUCAGUAGUUAUGCUUUUUUUUUUUUUUCAAUGAUGGUUUAAAAAUAGACUAAAGUUUUCGUAUNNNNNNNNNNNNNNNNNNNNNNNNNNNNNNNNNNNNNNNNNNNNNNNNNNNNNNNNNNNNNNNNNNNNNNNNNNNNNNNNNNNNNNNNNNNNNNNNNNNNNNNNNNNNNNNNNNNNNNNNNNNNNNNNNNNNNNNNNNNNNNNNNNNNNNNNNNNNNNNNNNNNNNNNNNNNNNNNNNNNNNNNNNNNNNNNNNNNNNNNNNNNNNNNNNNNNNNNNNNNNNNNNNNNNNNNNNNNNNNNNNNNNNNNNNNNNNNNNNNNNNNNNNNNNNNNNNNNNNNNNNNNNNNNNNNNNNNNNNNNNNNNNNNNNNNNNNNNNNNNNNNNNNNNNNNNNNNNNNNNNNNNNNNNNNNNNNNNNNNNNNNNNNNNNNNNNNNNNNNNNNNNNNNNNNNNNNNNNNNNNNNNNNNNNNNNNNNNNNNNNNNNNNNNNNNNNNNNNNNNNNNNNNNNNNNNNNNNNNNNNNNNNNNNNNNNNNNNNNNNNNNNNNNNNNNNNNNNNNNNNNNNNNNNNNNNNNNNNNNNNNNNNNNNNNNNNNNNNNNNNNNNNNNNNNNNNNNNNNNNNNNNNNNNNNNNNNNNNNNNNNNNNNNNNNNNNNNNNNNNNNNNNNNNNNNNNNNNNNNNNNNNNNNNNNNNNNNNNNNNNNNNNNNNNNNNNNNNNNNNNNNNNNNNNNNNNNNNNNNNNNNNNNNNNNNNNNNNNNNNNNNNNNNNNNNNNNNNNNNNNNNNNNNNNNNNNNNNNNNNNNNNNNNNNNNNNNNNNNNNNNNNNNNNNNNNNNNNNNNNNNNNNNNNNNNNNNNNNNNNNNNNNNNNNNNNNNNNNNNNNNNNNNNNNNNNNNNNNNNNNNNNNNNNNNNNNNNNNNNNNNNNNNNNNNNNNNNNNNNNNNNNNNNNNNNNNNNNNNNNNNNNNNNNNNNNNNNNNNNNNNNNNNNNNNNNNNNNNNNNNNNNNNNNNNNNNNNNNNNNNNNNNNNNNNNNNNNNNNNNNNNNNNNNNNNNNNNNNNNNNNNNNNNNNNNNNNNNNNNNNNNNNNNNNNNNNNNNNNNNNNNNNNNNNNNNNNNNNNNNNNNNNNNNNNNNNNNNNNNNNNNNNNNNNNNNNNNNNNNNNNNNNNNNNNNNNNNNNNNNNNNNNNNNNNNNNNNNNNNNNNNNNNNNNNNNNNNNNNNNNNNNNNNNNNNNNNNNNNNNNNNNNNNNNNNNNNNNNNNNNNNNNNNNNNNNNNNNNNNNNNNNNNNNNNNNNNNNNNNNNNNNNNNNNNNNNNNNNNNNNNNNNNNNNNNNNNNNNNNNNNNNNNNNNNNNNNNNNNNNNNNNNNNNNNNNNNNNNNNNNNNNNNNNNNNNNNNNNNNNNNNNNNNNNNNNNNNNNNNNNNNNNNNNNNNNNNNNNNNNNNNNNNNNNNNNNNNNNNNNNNNNNNNNNNNNNNNNNNNNNNNNNNNNNNNNNNNNNNNNNNNNNNNNNNNNNNNNNNNNNNNNNNNNNNNNNNNNNNNNNNNNNNNNNNNNNNNNNNNNNNNNNNNNNNNNNNNNNNNNNNNNNNNNNNNNNNNNNNNNNNNNNNNNNNNNNNNNNNNNNNNNNNNNNNNNGGCCGUACAGCAGUAUUAUUUUAAAUGUAAAAAAUAAUUUAAUAUUAUUAGUCUACUGGAUAGAUUAUAUUAUUUAUAUUAAAUUUUAAUUAAAUAAAAAACUUCAAAGUCAAUUUCCUAAUUAAUAAAUUCAAAGGGUAUUAUGAUUAAAAAUGGGUCUUGAUGUCUCAUUUUAAAAACUUGAGAGUUUUUGUAAUUAUUUUCUCACACCUUAAGGGUAUAAUUAUCUUUUUUCCUCAAUAAUAUUAUAAAUUGAAAAAAUUCAUCCAUAGUUGUAUUAAUGUUGUAUCACUCGAACACAUCAAAGAUUUUAAGCGAUAAAUAAAACAACCAGAGUCAAACAAAAACUCAAUUUAGUGGUUUUCAAGCGUUCCAAUAACAAGAAGGACUAAAUAAUUUAGCUUAUAAUCGGGGAAAAUUUGAAAUAAAUUAACAAUAUCCCUUUUUAAUUGUAAUCUUCUGCUAUCUAGAUCAAUUGAUUGCACCUGCCUCAACAUCAGCAGAGACAAAGGGCAUUGGAGGGAUCUCCAAGCUUUGUAAAUCAGCUUCAAGCAUUUGUAAUACCAUUGGCAUGGAAGGUCUCUCCGUGGGAUUCCAUUGAAUGCACCAAAUUGCCACAAUUGCAAGCUUUCUCGCAAUUCCCUCAUCCCCAUCUUCCUCAAAAUCCAAACAGAGCUCUUGUCCUAGCCUCAUUCUAUUGUAAAUCCACUCUGGAAAAUAUAUUUGGCUCUGAAUUUCAACCGCAGGAUCAUUAUUUUUUCUGCAUCCGACCAUCUCUAACAGCAUCAUUCCGUAACUGUAAACAUCAGACUUGUAAGAGAUCUCACCAAAAUUCCUGGAGAAAAGUUCAGGUGCAAUGUAGCCAGAAGUGCCUCUGGCAGCUGUCAGAGAUACAAUGCUUAUGUCCUUUGAGCACAACUUAGCCAGUCCAAAAUCUGAAAUCUUCGGUUGAAAAUUAUGGUCUAAUAAUAUAUUGUGAGGCUUGAUAUCGAAGUGCAGGAUCCUCUGGUUGCAUCCUUGGUGCAAGUACUCCACUCCACGGGCAACGCCAAAUGCAAUCUUCCUCAGCUUCUCCCAACUCAAUUGACGGUGACUUGAGCUAUUUGUCUUUGAGAAGAUGAAUUUCUCAAGUGAUCCAUUGGGCAUAAACUCGUAAAUAAGAGCGCGACGAUUCCCUUCAGAGCAAAAUCCCAGAAGCCGAACAAUGUGAAAGUGGUGAAUCCUGCCAAUUGUGGCCACUUCAUUGAUGAACUCUUGUCCAUUUCCUUUUAAAUGUUCCAACAUCUUGACAGCAACUGGAAUUCCGUUGAAGAGUUUUCCUCUGAACACACUUCCAUAACCUCCCUGGCCGAGCCUGUGCUUAAAUCUGCUUGUUAUUUUCUUCAGUUCUUUGUAAGUAUAUCUGGUGGGAUUGACGGUCCUGUAGUUUUCGAGGAACUUCUCCACCUUCAGUUGAGUCUCUUUUUCUUUUUCAGAUUCUCUUGAUCUGUAAAUGAGAAAUAUCACUAAUGCAAAGAGGGUGAUGCCUCCAAUGCUUGUGCCUGUGGAUAUUAGACUUAUAGAUAAAGGGCCAGGACCAUCUGUUACAAUAAAAUGAGAUGCUAAAAGUUAGUUAAAAAAUCAACUCAAAGAAUAAAAUGAGACGCUAAAAGUUUGGACCCGUGUAAGCUUAACUUGGUAGCAUAAAGACUCAAUAUUAUUUGAUUGGGUUUUAACAAGUCCCUCUCAUGUGACCAUCUCAUAUAGAUAUUUGUCCAUAACUUAAAUGAUAAUUAUAUAUCUUAUUCACAUGGGUGGAUAGAUAAUUAGGUCGUCAUUUAACUAAAUAAUGAAAAAAUAUUAAUAAGGAGAAGGAUGAAAUUAUUUGAACUGCAAAGUAAGCACUCUUUCACCUUGCACACUUCAAUUUUAAAAUUGUAAUUUUUACUCAAGCACACAAUGAAAACACCAAAAUGAUCACAAUUAGAAAUCCCUAUCAUUAUGCUUUUUUUUUGCCUUUCUGCAUUCACAAAAUGAUUUUUUUUCCCUCGUCUCUUAUUCCAUGUGAAUAUUGAGGGUCACUUAAUUAAACAAAUUUUUUUUCUCAACAAAUUUGCCAUCAUGAACGUUUUUUUCUCAACAAAUUUGCCAUCAUCUUAAUUUGUAUUCAUUGAGGACGCAAGAAAAUAUAAUAGAUUAAACUUUUAUCAGGCAUUGUGAGUUUAAUCAAUCUCUCACCAUUAACGAAAAUUAAUUGUAAUAUAAAGAUUCAAGAUUAAAUUGACGAGAUAGAGAAAAUUAGUACUAUCUAUUUGGUCCUGAGUAGUAUCAGUUUUUCUCCAAACAGUCAAAUCAGCCAGGCUAGCAACAUUUUAUCGAGCACUCUACAACUAGCAAUAAUACUGGAAAGCAGCUUUUAUAGCAAUGAUAUUCGUCAUACAGAUUAGGGGUGGGUAAAAUUAUAAUUGCCGCCAAAAAACAAAUCGUCAGUUUUUUUUUUUUUUGUAAAAAAAAAUCCAUCGAUUUAUAUGAGAGAAAGUAAAAAACCAAAAAAACUAGAAAAACGCAAAAGAAAAUGCAGGUCAAAUGAAAAAAAAUAAAUAAAUAAAACCUAACUAAAUCGAACAAAUUGAUUGGACUUUCAGUUCAGUUCAAAUUAUUAAUUUUUUGAAAAACUGACCAUCGGAAUUCAACUAAAUCUAAGUUCUAACCUUUGCCCAGUGCCCACCCCUAAAAUAAUAUAGAUGGCUUCUUUAAUUUUUAACUUCCAGCAAUUGUAAUUACACUUUUACAAUUGAAAAAAUAAUGCAAAGCCUAAUUAUUAUUAUUUUUUUUCAGUUACACUGCUCUGAUCAUUUUUCCAAUAGAGACGAUGCUUUCACUUUCAAGCACUGUAGAGAGAGGUGACUGAGAAAAGAUAUGGUUACUUACGUUUUUGGUGUUUAACGGCAACGCAGAUUGUCGAAUUGCUUGUAGUGUUGAACCCACAAUAAUUCCCUUAAUUUUCGCAGUCGUAGCAUCCAUCAAGAGCUUCCCAUCCUAAGACUACUGGAGUUGCCCUCGCCGUCGUGGCAAUAUCCUGAAGAGGUAAUCCACCAGGAAUCUCAACUGUUCCAGAUUUUCUGCAAGAUGGAGGCAUAUCCUCCACUGAAGAUUCGCUAUCUAUGGUACAGACAAGAUUGUUUUCAUUGCUAAGACAAUUGAUCGGUUCAAUUGGUCCAUACGAAGUCCAUCCUGGGGAAGCCUUCUCAAUUCACAUCUGUAAUGUUAAUACUGCUGUCCAGAUAAGAAAUUUCAUGGACAUAAUAAUCACCAGAGGAAGGAAGAUGCCAGAUUGUCUUGUCACUUAAGCAUGACAAUUCAAACCCUUCAAGGCCACAAUAUGUUGGUUGAGCUUUGAGUCUGAAGGGAUAUAUGAUCCUUGGGCUCUUAUUACUGCAUCUUGUUGGUUGACAGAAUUCAUAUUUAUCUGUCUUGUUGUCUUCCGCAGAAGCUUUGGCUAAUGUACAUGUGUAAAGUAGGAAGAGGAAGAGGAUUAUUAAACUCAUCACGAGGGACAUGGAGGGAGAGGGAGAGCGGAGUUUGAGUUAGAGCAGAGUUUGAGUUAUGCUUUUGGAGUAAUAAGGGAGAGGAGAGUUUGAUUGUCAGUUUGUCAUGGAAAAAGGUAGGAAAAUGGGUUUCUUUUAAAUUCUUCUGUUCUUUCCUUCUUUCUUUUCUCCUUUUUCUAAGUCAAUGGUAGCUCCAAAGAGACUAGUCAACUUCAAUAUCUGCCAAUAUCAGAUGCAUGGAGGAACAUGAUGAGACUUGCUGUUUGUGAUAUAGAUUUUAGUGAGAGUUGUGAAAGUAAUUUGUAGGUAAAGAAAUGAGAAAAUUAUGUUUUUAAGAUCAGUAAGUAAUGUUCUUUAGAAAACGGGUAAUUCCGAGCAGCUACCCUCCGCUUACCAUGAUAUAUCAGUGGGAGACUAAGGUCGUGUUUAGGAUCUAUGUGUCUUUUAAUUCACCAUUGUUGUGAGAUGAAAUUAUUAUCUAUUAAGUAAAAGUGGAUGUGUGGUGAUAGCUAGGUGUCUACGAUAUACUUUGGUAAUUGUACUUUAAAUUAAGUUCAGCAGGACCAGAGAGUUCAAACAAUACUCUAGCUCAAUCAGAUAUGCCGCACGCAGCGUUUCAAUAGUUUGAUGAAUGUACAUGAUCACAUGACAAACCUACAUCAUAUUCUGGUCGAUACGAGCAAAAUUGGAAUAUUCACAUCAAACAAUGAAUAUUACUGAAAUUUUUCAACAUAAUGUUAUAGAAUCCCUGGUAGCACGAGGACAAUUUAUUUCUUUUUUACACGUCAUUGCAAAAACUAAGCAUAACUAUCAUUGAAAGAACAUUCCUCAAUCAAUUCAGACACUAACAACUCUGUUGAAGAAUCUGAUUCAAUCUCUCUUCCGGAGAUAUGUCGAGAAGAAGAGAAGAAAGGUUUCGGAGGCAUUUGCAAAUCGUCGAUACUCCCUUCUAACAUUUCCAAAACUUUUGUCAUGGAGGGGCGAUCAGCUGGCUUCACCUGA